AGCCACAAAGAAGUGGACCACCAAGAACACAGGCUCUGCUACCUGCAAGAGAGGAUUUGUUCAGUUCUGCUAUGAGCCAAUCAAGCAAAUCAUUAACACCUGCAUGAAUGACCAGAAGGAUAAGUUGUGGCCCAUGCUUCAAAAGCUUAAUGUUACCAUGAAGUCUGAUGAGAAGGAAUUGGUUGGCAAGGCUUUGAUGAAGCGUGUUAUGCAAACUUGGCUUCCAGCUAGUACUGCACUGCUUGAGAUGAUGAUAUUCCACCUUCCUUCCCCAUCAAAGGCACAAAAGUAUCGUGUGGAGAACUUGUACGAGGGACCCCUUGAUGAUAUCUAUGCUACUGCUAUCAGGAACUGUGAUCCGGAGGGUCCUCUUAUGCUGUAUGUUUCUAAGAUGAUUCCAGCAUCUGACAAGGGCAGGUUCUUCGCCUUUGGUCGUGUCUUCUCUGGGAAGGUUGCUACUGGUAUGAAGGUUAGGAUCAUGGGUCCCAACUAUGUCCCUGGCCAGAAGAAGGAUCUGUACGUCAAGAGUGUCCAGCGUACUGUUAUCUGGAUGGGAAAGAAACAAGAGUCUGUUGAGGAUGUUCCUUGUGGUAACACUGUUGCUAUGGUUGGUCUGGAUCAGUUCAUCACGAAGAAUGCUACACUCACCAAUGAGAAGGAGGUUGAUGCAUGCCCAAUCAGAGCAAUGAAGUUCUCUGUCUCCCCUGUUGUGCGCGUUGCUGUUCAGUGCAAGGUUGCCUCUGACCUACCCAAGCUCGUUGAAGGUUUGAAGCGUCUGGCAAAGUCUGAUCCUAUGGUCCUCUGUACAAUUGAAGAAUCUGGUGAGCAUAUUAUUGCUGGAGCUGGUGAGCUUCACCUUGAGAUUUGCCUGAAGGAUCUGCAGGAAGACUUCAUGGGUGGUGCUGAAAUUAUUGUUUCUCCUCCUGUUGUCUCUUUCCGUGAAACUGUUCUUGAGAAAUCCUGCCGAACAGUCAUGAGCAAGUCCCCCAACAAGCACAACCGUCUUUACAUGGAAGCCCGUCCCUUGGAAGAGGGUCUCCCUGAGGCUAUUGAUGAGGGCCGCAUUGGUCCACGUGAUGAUCCCAAGGUUCGCUCCAAGAUCCUCUCUGAGGAGUUUGGUUGGGACAAGGAUCUUGCCAAGAAGAUUUGGUGCUUUGGACCUGAGACCACUGGCCCGAACAUGGUUGUUGAUAUGUGUAAGGGAGUGCAGUACCUCAAUGAAAUCAAGGAUUCUGUUGUGGCUGGCUUCCAGUGGGCCUCAAAGGAGGGUGCACUGGCUGAGGAGAACAUGCGUGGCAUCUGCUUUGAGGUCUGUGAUGUUGUUCUUCAUGCUGAUGCAAUUCACAGGGGUGGUGGCCAGGUCAUUCCAACUGCCAGGAGGGUUAUUUAUGCUUCUCAGCUCACUGCCAAGCCAAGGCUGCUCGAGCCAGUUUACCUUGUGGAGAUCCAGGCCCCAGAAAAUGCACUUGGUGGUAUCUAUGGUGUUCUGAACCAGAAGAGAGGGCACGUGUUUGAGGAGAUGCAGAGGCCUGGUACCCCGCUCUACAACAUCAAGGCUUACCUCCCUGUCAUCGAGUCCUUUGGGUUCUCCAGCCAACUGAGGGCUGCAACCUCUGGCCAGGCGUUCCCUCAGUGUGUGUUUGACCACUGGGACAUGAUGGGCUCUGAUCCUCUGGAGGCCGGCUCCCAGGCUGCUCAGCUGGUGUUGGAUAUCCGCAAGAGGAAGGGUCUCAAGGAGCAGAUGACCCCUCUUUCUGAGUUUGAGGACAAGCUCUAAAUUUUGGUGGUUUGUGCUGCUGUUACCCAUGCUGGUUUCAUGGCCAAUUCGUCUACUGUAACUGGAACUACUUUCAUGUUUCAUUUCCUUUAGUUGUCAGAUGCAUCUGUUUUUGAACAUCAUUGGCCAUAUGGCAUUGUGCUGCUAAGACUGUAUUUUGUUAUCCGGUUGUGAUGUAACAGAUGAAAUAGAGUUCAUAUCUGUGGUUUAAGUGGUAGUAUUUGCGGUAUAAUGCUUGUUUCUACUGCCUUCUGAAAGCCUUUCUUUUGCCUAACGGUAGAGCGGAUUAACUAAGGGUGUUGUAUCAUUUGAUUCAUUUGAUCCUUCAUCAAGGAUGAAGCCAUCUCCUCAUGGGAACACAUUAUUCUACUAUUAGAAGCGAAGAUGUAACAAAUUAGUUGAAAGAGGAGCGUUGAAAGAGGAGCGAACCAUACUUUACUAUAUGGUAAGUAGCAAAUUAGUUACAAGUAGCAAAUUAGUUGAACUUUAGGAUCAUGCACGUUGAACCUUGUUAUCUAGGAUCAUCCAUGGAUCAUGCACGUUGAACCUUGCUAACUAGGAUCAUGCACGUUGACCCUUGUUAUCUAGGAUCAUCCAUGGAUCAUACACGUUGAACUUUGCUAUCUAGGAUUAUCCAUGUAUGCAUCAUGUAGUGCAUCUGUGCAUGCAAUAUUCUGUUAUCUAGGAUCAUCCAUGGAUCAUACACGUUGAACUUUGCUAUCUAGGAUUAUCCAUGUAUACAUCAUGUAGUGCAUCUGUGCAUGCAAUAUUCUGCCCUUAGCUUGGUUUUACUGCCGAUAGCUAUAUAGUGCAUUUAAAUGCUUUUCUUUUGCCCACAGCCCCAGAGGUAGAGAGGACUAACUGUUUCUGUUGCUUUUUUUUUUUACGGUCUACGGGAGAGAGUGUGUGUGUGUGUUGGGGGUGGGAGCGCCCCCACCUGAUUUUCAUUUCAUUGAGGGUCUGUUUCAGGCCAAACGCUGUGUAGAUCAAAAGGAGAUAGAGAGAGGCAGUGUACAUCUGGUUUUGUGAUUGUUUUACAUCGAAGCAAAGACAGUGCACCAGGAGUCGGUUAUCACGCGAUCCUCUAUGCGAAACCGCUCGCGCCAAAGUCGGGCUUCGUCUCGGCAUGCCGACCAGAAGCGUUGUUGAGAUGGAGCGCAGCGCUGGAACACUGGGUCAUUCCGGUGCUUCCAUAACACCCACGGCAGAAGGAGUUUUUUCUUGCUUUGCCUUUAGCUUGGCUUUAAUCCUGUUAGCUAUGCCUAUGUAGAGCAUUUGGUCCUUCGAAUUUUAAAUCGAUGUUGAUUUUGAUUGCAUGCCGUCAUUUUGGGUUGGUUCCAACUAUGUUUUUAAUAUCAGUCGUUCUGAAGGUUACUCUGUUGACACUUGAUUGCAUAACCGUUUGCUAGUUUUGCGUGCAUCCGCGUGCUGGUUCGUCUCAUCAAGAACUAGCCGUUGCUCAAAACUCUGGCUUUCAGGCAUGGCCGCAACAGCCUGGAGGAUGUGUUGCUGUUCUGUAGCUGUAGUGUGCGUCUGUGCUAGUGGAUGCAGGGAGCCAGCGACCUAAAAGGAAUCGUGUAUUAGUGGAUGCAGGACAUCGGCCGUGGCGGCCUGGGGGAGACGACCACGCUCGACAUGAACGGCAGUAAGUUCAAUGGCACGAUCCCGGCGUCGCUUACCGGCCUAUGGAGCCUCCAGUAUCUAGAUGUGAGCGGCAACCGCUUCACCGGCACCAUCCCAGCGUUGCUAUCUGGACUCCGGAACCUCCAGCUUCUCGGCCUGAAUGACAACCUCUUCACCGGCACCAUCCCGGCGGACCUCGGCGAGCUGGCGAGCCUUCACAUGCUGUAUCUGGCAAACAACCAGUUCGAUGCAGGCCAGCUGCCGUCGUCGUUCAAGAACCUGACCAACCUGGUCAGCCUCUGGGCGUCGCAGUGCAACCUCGUCGGAGAGUUCCCGAACUUUCUUUGGAGCCUGAAGGAGCUGCAACUAUUGAAUCUGUACACGAACAACCUCACCGGCAACUUGGUGGUUGAUGGCCUUGUUGCGAGGAACUUGACAGUAAUCGACGUCUCGGAGAACAAGAUCACUGGAGUUAUCCCGAGUGUUUGGGAGCUUGGAGAACCUCAGAGACUUGAACUUCUUCAUGAACAACUUCUCCAGCGAGAUACCAGCCAGCAUCGGCCGGUUGCCCUCACUGACGAGGUUGAGGCUCCACACCAACAUGCUUAACGGCACGCUCCCACCGGAGCUCGGAAAGCAAUCGCCGGGCUUGAAUUAUGUUGAGGUUGAUUACAAUGAGCUCACCGCCGAGAUCCCGGAAGGGCUGUGCACUGGAGACAACCUCCAGCACCUCACCGCCAAGAGCAACCAAUUGAACGGCUCCAUCCCAGCAGGCCUUGCCAACUGCGCCACUCUUGGAACCCUGUCGCUGGACAACAACCAACUCUCUGGCGACGUACCAGAGGCUCUGUGGACGGCGACGAAGCUUUACCAGAGGCUCUUCCGGCCACGGUGCAUCUCAACCUUUCGACGAUACUCAUAGGGAACAACCAAUUUGGUGGCAACAUUCCGGCUGCACUAGCUGCGCUCCAGGUGUUCACCGCCGAGAACAACCGGUUUUCUGGUGCGAUACCGGCGAGUCUUGGCGACGGCAUGCCGCUGCUGCAAAGACUGAACUUAUCCGGUAACCAACUGUCCGACGGGAUCCCCAGAAGCGUUGCUAAGCUAAGCCAGCUGACGGAAAUGGACCUGAGCAGGAAUCAGCUCACCGGAGGCAUACCGGUAGAGCUCGGCGCCAUGCCGGUGUUAAGUGUCCUUAACCUGUCGUCGAACAAGCUCUCCGGCAACGUGCCGCAGGCGCUUGCGAAGCCGACACUCACCGCCCUAACCUGUCCUCGAACCAUCAGACCGGCCAGGUCCCGGCCGGGUUCGCCACCGCGGUCUACGACACCAGCUUCCUCAACAACCCCGGCCUCUGCACCGCCGCUUGGGGACCUGGCUACCUCACGGGCGUACGCUCCUGCGCCGGUGGAUCACAAGACGGCGGUUCCUCCGGAGGCGUGUCGCACGCCCUGCGCAGGGGAACCUCGCCGUGGCGUUCGCCUUCUUCGUCGUCCGCGACAUCAAGAAACGGCGGCGCGUCGCGGAGCAAGACAACUGGAAGAUCACGCCUUUCGUCAAAGAUCUGGGAUUCGGUGAGGCACCCAUACUCCGGGGGCUGACGGAGGAGAACCUCGUCGGGCGCGGGGGAUCGGGGCGCGUGUACCGCGUCGCCUACACCAACCGGCUUAACGGCCGAGCCGGCGCGGUGGCCGUAAAGCAAAUACGGACCGCCGGGAAGCUCGACCAGAAGCUGGAACGCGAAUUCGCGUCAGAGGCUGGCAUCAUCGGCAACCUCCGGCACAACAACAUCGUCAAGCUCUUGUGUUGCCGCUCCAGCGCCGAGUCCAAGCUCCUCGUGUACGACUAUGGACAACGGCAUCCUGGACAGGUGGCUCCACGGCGACGCCCUCGUCGCCGGCGGGCGCCCCAUGGCGAGGGCGCGGUCCGCGCGGCGCGAGCCGCUGGACUGGCCGGCGAGGCUCAGGGUGGCCGUCGACGCCGCGCAGGGGCUGUGCUACAUGCACCACGAGUACGAGCCGCCCAUCGUCCACCGCGACGUCAAGACGAGCAACAUCCUGCUGGACUCGGAGUUCCGGGCCAAGAUCGCCGACUUCGGGCUGGCCACAGGAUGCUGCUGCAGGCCGGGGCGCCGGAAACGAUGUCCGCCGUCGCUGGCUCGUUCGGCUACAUGGCUCCUGGUAAGGAUUCGAACUUGCUGCUUUCAGUGAAUUUCUGUCCCAUUUCUACAAAUGCCACGUGUUCUCGUGUUGCCGGACCUUAGAUUGGGCCUUUUGAUGCUUAUCUGCAGAGUGUGCUUACACCAAGAAGGUGAACGAGAAGGUAGACAGCUUCGGUGUCAUUCUCCUGGAGCUCACCACCGGAAAGGAGGCCAACAACGGCGGCGAGCACGGCUGCCUGGCGGACUGGGCACGGCGCCACUACCAAUCAGGAGGGAGCAUCGCCGACGCCACAGACAAGAGCAUCAGAUACGACGGGUACUCUGACGAGAUCCAGGUUGUCUUCAGGCUCGGCGUGCUCUGCACCGCCGAUAUGCCGUCGUCGCGGCCAACCAUGAACGACGUGCUGCAGAUCUUGGUCAAGUGCAGCGAGCAGACGUACCACAAGGGCAAGACGGAGCGUGGCCCAGAGUAUGAGGUGGCUCUUCUACCCAAACGCGGCAGUCGCCGGAAACAGCUUUCAAACGGCUCGGGGAUUUACAUCGAAGAGAAGAUGACAGCAUUGUCUGAAGAAAGGAACUGACCACUGCAUAUGCCAGUAAGCAGCUUGUGACAUCGUCAGUGAACUGCUUGCUAUAGUGAUACUUCACAUUUUAGCAGAGUACAGCGGAGAAUUAUGCCUCUAAUCUUUUUUUUUCUGAGGAGCUAAGUAUCUUUAUAUUAAAAAGAGAAUAUAAAUAGAAAAAAUCAGUCCAUUGGAAGCAACCACUCUAGCUCACCUAGGAGAAUAGAGAGAUUGCAUAAACAAGCGAAGAAAAAACCGUCACCAGACCUUGACCCUGCACGGCUGGACUAGGGACAUGCAUAGUAUAGAGCAGGGCUUGUGGUUAGCCAAACCGUUCUGUGUAUUGAUACUGCAAAUCUGUAUUAAAUCACACACACAUUAUACGUUCCGACAGAAGAACUAGCAAACAUUACGAUUAUACUCCCUCCGUUCUUAAAUAUAUAACGCUAUUGACUUUUUCAUUUGUUUGACUAUUCAUCUUUUCUACAAAUAUUUUUGCAAAUAGAUAAAUCUACGAGUUAAAUCUAAAGUACAUUUCACAAUAGUCAUAAUGAUACACAUUUUACUUUAGUUAACUAACUCAUUCAAUAGAUAUUGAUGGUCAAAGUUGGAGUAAAAAGCCAACAGCAUCAUAUAUUUAAGAAUGGAGGGAGUAAUUUAUUUCUGAAAUAAAGGCAGGAGAUGGAGCUCUGCUUAUCCAUUCAGAAAUUAGUACGAUUGAAUGAUUUUGUCUCCUUCCAGUUUUUAUUGUAAAACACAGAAUAUUACACGGAUAGGCACUGAUUGUUAUCCGGAAGAAAAUGAAUUUUUAUAUUUCAAAAGAAAAGGCCCAAUUUGCACCCUCUAGCUAGCACGAUAAUCCAAUUUUCAGCUAAACUGACCAUGGGCCGGCCCAAAGGCACAGGAAUUUGGCCCGGUCUAGGCAUGGCGGCCGUCGUGCUCGUGCUAACCCGACCCACACCAUGGGCCGUGCUUGGGCCGUUGCCUCAGCCCACGUACUGGUCCGGCACGGCCUGCCCAUUUGGCCCGUCGGGAUUAAGUGGGCGGCCCAUCCUAUUAAGGCCCACUCGACCGCAUAUAAAACCCCCCACCCCCAAACGGCCAAACCCUACCUUCCUCUUCGUGUCCCGCGCCCUUCGCCGCCGUCACCUCCCCCGCGCCCUUCGCCGCCUCUCGCGCCCGCCGGCCGCUCACGCCCUCCGCCGCUUCCCCCCGCCGCCUCCCUCACGCCCUCCGCCGCAUCCUCCCACCGCCUCCCUCGUGCCCUCCGCCACCUCCCGCGCCCGCCGGCCUCUCGCUCCCCUGCCACCUCCCCCGCGGCCCUCUGCCGCCUCCUACACCCGCCGGUCCCUUGCCGCAAUUGGGGAAGAUGGUGGCCUGCACGGCGGCGCGCGCAAACGUCCUGUCGUCCCUCGGCGGUGGGAGCUGCGGCACGAGUGGGCGCCUGGGCAGAUCCGGGAAAGGUCUAUGGGCGCCCUGACGACGAGGUGGUCGAAGUCAUCGGGGCUAUCGAACUCGACGACGACAGGCGCUACGGGCGUAUGAGCAGAGGAAGGGUGAAUUCUGUGCCGCAGGCUGGCACGAGCACGGUGAGGCCGUUAAGGCCUGCCAGGCCAGCGUGCCAGCACGGCCCACCUAAGAAGGCUGCGGGUCAUGCCUGGACCGCUCCUUCGGCACAUGGGCCGGCACGGCCUGGCACUAUUACCGUGCAAGCCUAACCGUGCCGGGCCUAACCGUGCCAGGCCAAAUCGUGCUCGUGCCAGGCCGGGUUGGGCUACCUGUUUGGCCAUCUAUACAUCCAACGGUUGAAACCAGAUAAAUUUUAUCCUUUAGCUGGUUUCAAAGAUGUUUUUUUGUUUUAUUAGACAUUUAAAAAAAAUCUGAUUUAAUCUUGUUGGGGGGAAAUAUUAACGAUCCCCUAAAUACCACUUAAAGGAGCAGACGCGAAGGCCCGGGCCCACCUAAGCAUAAUCAAAACUCCGCCUCGCCCGACCGCGGCCUCAGGGUCAGGAACGCCCGACCCCCCUCCACGAGGUUUCCGCCUCGUCCGACUGCGGCCCCAGGGUCGAAGGCGCCCGAUCCCUCGCCACAAGGUUCCGCCUCGUCCGACCCCAAGCGCAGGGGUCGGGCUCGCUGGGGCCCCCAGGGCAGGCAUCCCCCUCGGAUGUGGACCAGGUGGGCAAGAUAAACAAAUCUUGCGGGUCCCCCCCCCCAUCGGCCUCGUCAUAAAUGCGCUGCGGGCCUGGCAGAGGGAGGAAUGACCACGCUCCUCACACAACCCGCCGCAAGUACCCAUGCACGACCAUACUGUACAAGCUACAGCGCUGGCGGCUCACUCCCAUUCGCCGCAGGGUACUCAUGGCCUGCGCCGACCGGAGCGGAGGAGAGACUCGCCUGUCCUCGAGCCCCGCGCACCCUCGGGUCCCGUGCGCCUGGCAUCUAGGAUGUGACGCCCUCUCUCCAGGAGCCAUCAUCAGAAUGGCAGCAUCCACCGUCCUCCCCAACGGACACCGGGAUAACGACGAAACGCCCUCAUCAUAACCCGACGCCUACGGAUGCCGAAGGAGCUAUCUGUAGGGUGCAACGACAGUUGGCGCACGGCCGCCUCCCCCUCCGGCAUGCACGCCGGCGCUCGCCAGGAGCCGGCGGAGGCGUCGGGCGUCUAGGAACUUGUUCCUCCCAUCCUGCCGUAUUUUUUACCGUACUACGUUCACAUUUUACGGUCCUCUUCGCCCGAUCCCAACUGUAACUCUGGCCACUCCCCUUGCGAUAUAAAAGGAGGAACACAGGGCCGGAGGGGGGGAUCGGCUUCUUCCCCCUCAAGCCACAGCAUGCUAGUACGCUCCCUGAGAACAUAGGCUCAAAGAGACUUGGGACCAGUCCCUCUCUCGUCGGUCUGUAACCCCUACUACAGAACCCCGCGUGGGCAAUACGAGCAUCCACGAUACUGGACGUAGGGCUCCCUUUGCUCGAACCAGUCUAAUCCGUGUCUCCCACGCCACCAUCUGAGGCCUUACGCGCAUAAAAGAAAUUUACUAGUCUAAGUCUUGAUCCGCCAAUCUUGACAACGACAGUUGGCGCGCUAGGUAGGGGACCUUUGCGCAUACCCUCCCAGCCUCAGAUGGCCAAUUACGAUAGUAGCUUUGCUCCGGGCUCCCUGAUCCGAUUCGGGAGCCUGGACUUCCUCGCCACCGGGGAAGGGAUCAAGCUGAUCCCUGUCCUCAUCCUGCCCGCUCGCCCGCCUGCCCCCGGCCCCGCCGCCGGGACAGCGGUGAGCGGCCGCUCGCAUACCGGAAGGACCUCGCCAGGGGGACGGCCCUUCGGGCUACGCAAUGCCACGGGGGCCUACGGACGCCUCCUAGCGCGGUCCAUGACCGCGUCGCCCGCGAGCAACGAGCUCGUAGGUGCGACAAGGACGAUCUCCGACACCGGCUCCAGCAGCGGGAGCCCCCACCCCUCGCGUGAGUGCCUCGUGGUCGACGAGCACUCUGAGGGAUCCAACAGCAACGAUGCCGAGGAGAGACAAAGGGCUGCCCCUCGCGCGCCGCGGCUAUGACCGGAGCCUUACCAAGGGCACCAGAGUGCUCUCAGCAACGAGAGGCGCGCGCGGGCGCCCGCCAAGAAGUCGAGCACCCCCACCACGAGGGAGGAGCGCGACAACGGGCGCGAGACGUCCAGCGACGCAUCUGCGCGGAUGAAGAGCGUCCGCAGCUUUUCGCCCGCGCCAGCCAAAACGUCGCAGCCGCGGCGGUGUUGCUCCGACAGCUCCCCGAACCAGCGAUGCCCGAGGAGCGACGGGCACGCCAAGAGAUGCGCGACCUGCUCGAAUGCGCCGCCGUCCAGCAGGCGGAAAGCUCCGCGUCCCGGCGACGCGGGCAGAAUGCCAGCAGGGCGACGCCCGACGCGCCCCCGGAAAGGCGGGGGGAAUCAGUCCAUCUACCCCCUCCUGGGGCGAAUCAGGCCGCGUCCGCCCGACGGACUCCACCACCCGCGGGAGGCGAGGCUCGAUCCGUCCACCAGCGCGUCGGCCUCGUCCGCGACGCCCGCGACACCCUAAACGCGCGGAGACGCUCCCGCGCGGACAGGGAGGACGGGGUAGAUCGAGGCUACCACGUCCACCGUGGCGGGCGCUACGACAGCGGGGAAGACCGCAGCCUGAGCCCCGGUCCGGCUGGGCCCCGGGCCUUCUGUGCGCGCAUCCUGAACGCGCCUUUUCCGCCGCGCUUCAGGCAACCCAUGAGUAUAGCCAAAUACUCAGGGGAGACGAAUCCUGGAGUGUGGCUCAGCGAUUACCGGCUUGCAUGUCAAGCCGGCGGGGCGGAUGAUGACCUGUUUAUCAUCCGCAACCUACCCCUCUUCCUAGCCGACUCAACGCGAGCUUGGCUAGAACAUAUCCCUUCGGGACGAGUUCGCAACUGGAAUGACCUGAAGGAGGUUUUCAUAGGGAACUUCCAGGGCACGUACACACGCCCCGACAAUUCCUGGGACCUCCGGAGCUGUCGUCAGGGGGCGGACGAGUCCCUCCGAGAUUAUAGCCGGCGCUUCUCCAGGAAGCGCACCGAGCUCUCCAACGUCGCGGACGCCGAUGUCAUAGGAGCUUUCCUAGCAGGAACCUCCUGCCGGCCCCUCGUCCACGAGCUGGGGUGCCGAGGCCCGCGAACCACGGAGGAGCUCCUCAAUAUCGCCACUAGUUACGCCUCGGGCGAAGAGGCCGUUGGAGCAAUCUUCGACCGCUCCAAAGGCAAGGCGAAACGGGAGGAGGUUGCUGGCGAAGGCACCUCCAACCGCCAGCAGAAGAAGAAGGGCAAGUUACGGCGCGAGGCCCCCCUCGUGGCCGCAGCUGAGCGCAAGCGAGGGCCGCCGCCCCCCGAGGGCGCUCCCGGCUUCUUCGACAAGUUGCUUGAGGGACCGUGCCCGAACCACGAGUUCCCCGUGAAGCACGCCUACAAAGACUGCAACCUCAUGAAGAGAUACUUCAUGGGCAAUUCGGUGAAAGGCGACCGGAAGCGGAAGCCCGAUGAGGAAAAGAAGGGCGACGAAGAGAAGGAAGACGGCUUCCCCAAGGUGGACGGCUGCUUCAUGAUCUUCGGGGGCUCUGCGGCAUACGACACCAAGCGCCAGUAGAAGCUGGAGCGCCGGGAGGUCUACGCGGCCGAGCCAGCGACUCCGGCCUUCCUGGACUGGUCAGGGCCGGCCAUCACCUUCGACAGGACCGACCACCCUGGACGCGUCCGGCACCCGGGGCGUUACCCUCUCGUCGUCGACCCCAUCGUCGGCACGACGCGCCUCACCAAGGUGCUCAUGGACGGAGGCAGCAGCCUCAACAUCCUCUACGCCGAGACCCUCGACGCUAUGGGGAUCGACCGUUCCCGCCUCCAUCCCAGCAAGGCGCAUUUCCAUGGCGUCGUGCCAGGGAAGCAGGCGAUGCCUCUCGGGCAAAUCGACCUGCGCGUUACGUUCGGGACCCCUUCCAACUACAGGAAGGAGGUCCUCACAUUCGAGGUGGUGGGGUUCCGCGGAACCUACCACGCCAUCUUGGGACGGCCUUGCUACGCAAAGUUCAUGGCUAUCCCCAACUACACCUACCUCAAGCUCAAGCUGCCGGGGCCCAACGGGGUCAUCACCGUCGGCACGACCUUUCAGAAGGCGUACGAGUGCGACGUAGAGUGCUGCGAGUACGCCGCGGCCAUCACCGUCACGAGCGAUUCGGCAGUCCAGCUUGCGGAGGCCACCGAGGACCGGCCCGACUCCAGGCAGCCGAACAUCUCCUUCGAGCCCGCUGAAGGUAUCAAGGAGGUCCCCCUUGAUCCCGGUUGUUCCAACGGAGGAGUCGUGCGGAUCAGCGCGGCCCUAUCCCCCAAAUAGGAAAGCGCGCUCGUUGACUUCCUCCGCGCGAACAGCGACGUCUUCGCGUGGAAGCCAUCGGACAUGCCAGGCAUUCCGAGGGAAGUCGCCGAGCACUCCUUGAACAUCAGGGCCGGUUCCAAGCCAGUAAAGCAAGGAUUGCGCCGUUUCGACGAGGAAAGGCGCAAGGCCAUCGGCGAAGAGCUCCAGAAGCUUCUGGCGGCCGGGUUCAUCAAGGAAGUGCACCACCCCGAGUGGCUAGCUAAUCCUGUCCUUGUACCAAAAAAGAAUGGGAAAUGGAGGAUGUGUGUCGAUUAUAACGGUCUCAACAAAGCGUGUCCAAAGGACCCGUUUCCUUUGCCACGCAUAGAUCAAAUAGUCGACUCAACUGCCGGGUGCGAGACCCUCAGCUUCCUCGACGCAUAUUCCGGCUACCAUCAGAUCGCGAUGAAAGAGGCCGACCAGCUCGCUACCUCCUUCAUCACCCCCUUCGGUCCCUACUGCUACGUUAAGAUGCCAUUCGGCCUCAAAAACGUGGGGGCUACCUUCCAGCGAUGCAUGCUGUAGUGCUUCGGAGACCUCAUUGGGCGGACCGUUGAGGCCUACGUUGACGACAUCGUCGUAAAAUCCCGGAGGGGCGACCAGCUCGUUCCCGUCCUUGAACUAGCCUUCGAGAGGCUGAGGGAUAAGCGUAUUAAGCUCAAUCCCAAGAAAUGUGUGUUCGGAGUCCCAAGGGGCAUGCUGUUAGGCUUCAUCGUCUCCGUGCGCGUCAUCGAAGCAAACCCGGAGAAGAUAGCGGCCAUUAGAGACAUGGGGCCGAUCCGGAACAUAAAGGGAGUUCAGCGCAUCAUGGGAUGCUUGGCAGCUCUAAGCCGCUUCAUCUCGCGCCUCGGCGAGCGAGGGCUUCCUUUCUAUCGGCUCCUGAAGAAGACUGACCGUUUCGAAUGGACCAGCGAGGCCCAGGAGGCACUUGACCGACUCAAGGACCUCCUGACGAAGGCCCCGAUCCUAGUCCCGCCUACCGACGGCGAGUCCCUCCUGCUCUACGUCGCGGCGACCACCCAGGUGGUUAGCGCGGCCUUGGUGGUGGAACGAGAAGAGGAAGGACACGCUCUCAAGGUGCAACGCCCGGUGUAUUUCAUCAGCGAAGUCUUGUCCGAGUCCAAGACACGUUACCCGCAGAUCCAGAAGCUCGUCUACGCCAUCCUUAUCACAAAGAGGAAGCUGCGCCACUACUUCACCUCCCACCCGGUAACAGUCAUUUCGUCAUUCCCGUUAGGCGAAGUAAUCCGGAACCCAAAUGCUACAGGGAGAAUCGCGAAGUGGGCGCUUGAGCUCAUGGACCAGGGUAUCACCUACGUCCCCCGCACCGCCAUCAAGUCCUAGGCACUCGCCGACUUCGUGGCAGAGUGGACGGAGAUUCAAACGCCAUCGGCGCCAGAGAAGCAGGAGUAUUGGACAAUGUACUUCGACGGGUCACUGAUGAGGGCCCGCGCCGGAGCGGGUCUCGUUUUCGUCUCUCCCUUGGGCAUGCGCAUCAGGUACAUGAUCCACCUUCAUUUUCCUGCAUCUAAUAAUGUCGCCGAGUACGAAGCCCUCCUCAACGGACUCCGCAUCGCCAUCGAGCUGGGCAUCCGUCGGCUGGACAUCCGGGGCGAUUCCCAGUUGGUCGUCGAACAAGUCAUGAAGGAGUGGAGCUGCCACGACCCCAAAAUGGCAGCCUACUGCAACGAGGUCCGUAAGCUCGAAGACAAAUUCGACGAGCUAGAGCUCAACCACGUCGCAAGGCGCUUCAACGAAGCCGCCGACGAGCUGGCGAAGGCGGCAUCCGAAUGAAUGCUCGUCCCCGACGGCGUCUUCGUUAGCGACCAGUUGAAGCCCUCAAUCCGUUACCCAGAACUGCAGGGGUCGGCGAAGCACCCCCGGCCCUGGGAUCGGGACCCGAGUCAGGGGAGGUCGGCAGCGCGCCACCUGUCCGAGACCCGAGCACCAGCCCCGAGGGGGUCGACAACGCUUUGCCCAACUCGGCCCCGGGAGCCGAUCCGUCCGACCCCGGGGUCAUGGAAAUCACGGCAGAUUCCGCGGCGGGUGCCGACCCCCCGAUCGAUUGGAGAGCCCCAUACAUCGACUACCUCGUCCGCGACACGCUCCCGGCAGACAAAACGGAGGCCCGUAGGAUCGCGCGCCGCGCCAAAUCCUUCGCCAUCAUCGACCAGGAGCUCUACAAGAAAAGCCACACUGGAAUCCUCCAGCGCUGCAUCUCGAUCGAACAGGGAAAGGCGCUGAUCAAGGAUAUCCACGCCGGAGCCUGUGGUCACCACGCCGCGCCAAGGACCCUCGUUGGUAACGCCUUCCGACAAGGUUUUUACUGGCCGACCGCGGUCGCGGACGCUACCCAGGUAGUCCGCACCUGUGAAGGAUGCCAGUUCUUUGCCCGCCAGACUCACCUGCCCGCGCAGGCGUUGCAGACCAUCCCCAUCACGUGGCCAUUUGCGGUUUGGGGGCUAGAUCUCGUCGGACCCUUCAAGAAGGCACCCGGGGGCUUCACCCAUCUGCUCGUCGCCAUCGACAAGUUCUCCAAAUGGAUCGAGGCAAGACCGGUGGCGCAAAUCAGGUCCGAGCAGGUGGUCCAGUUCUUCACCGACAUCAUCCACCGCUUCGGGAUCCCGAAUUCCAUCAUCACCGACAACGGCACACAGUUCACUGGGAAGAGAUUCCUCCAGUUCUGCGACGACCACCACAUCCGAGUGGAUUGGGCGGCCGUGGCACACCCCCGCACGAACGGGAAAGUCGAGCGAGCCAAUGGCAUGAUACUCCAGGGUCUCAAGCCAUGGAUCUUCGACCGCCUUAAAAAAUUCGACGGACGGUGGGUUGCGGAGCUUCCCGCAGUCCUUUGGAGCCUGAGGACGACCCCCAGCCGGGCGACGGGCUUCACCCCGUUCUUCAUGAUCUACGGGUCAGAGGCCAUUUUGCCCACCGAUCUAGAGUACAGAUCGCCAAGGGUCAAGGCAUACGACGAACAGGGAAACCAGGCAUCAUUCGAGGACGCGCAAGAUCAACUCGAUGAAGCGCGAGACGUAGCUCUACUGCACUCGGCUAAGUACCAGCAGGCCCUACGGCGUUACCACAGCCGCAAGGUGCAAGGCUGAGCCUUCAACGUCGACGACUUGGUGCUCCGCCUCGUCCAAGACAACAGGGGUCGGCACAAGUUGACUCCCCCAUGGGAAGGCCCGUUCAUCGUCGUACAAGUUCUACGGCUGGGCACCUACAAGCUGGCAACUCCCGACGGGCAGGUUUUCAGCAACGCCUGGAACAUAGAACAGCUAAGGUGCUUUUACCCAUAGCUUUUAUUUCCAAGCCCUGCAUAAAACUUGUCUUCAAUUCCGAUAUUUCCUUUAAGCUCAGGGGUAUCCGACCCUGGCCUCGUUCCAGGGCCGCAUACCCCUCGGGGGCUACCAGUUUUGCUCCUCUGCGAAAAAAAAGAAACCCCGAGCCGUCUCGGUUCAGGCCUUUUCCUUUAAGCUCAGGGGUAUCCGACCCUAGCCUCGCUCCAGGAUCGCAUACCCCUCGGGGGCUAUCAGAGGUUCCGACCCCAGCCGCUCGGCCCUAUCUAAAAGAAACAUUUUUUCUUUUCAAACCGAACACUCCCUUUCUAGACCUUUGGGCGCAAAAAAGAGAAGGAUGCGCGAACGGUGCUCAGGCAAGUUUGAUCGGACUGCGAAAAAACCUACGCCCCAGCGGCUACGGCACCUUCGCUCAUCAAAACUUAAUGACGCACCCGACAACGCAUUCUAAACUUUCAAGCCCAAAGGAACAGCAAAGGGGAUCGGGAUCUUUCGCACAACGAAGUCAUAAACAAGCCUGUAUGGCCAUCACAAAAUAAGUUCGAAACUAACAUAAUUACAUUUUGGGCACAAGCCCGGUACAGUUAACUUGACGAGGGGUCGGCAGGAGGGAUGACCUCAUCUUCCAGGAGCUUCGCGAGGGCCUCCGCCGGCGCGGACACCGCUGCAUCAAUCCCGUCCAGCUCAGCUUCGGUGUAAUCAGCGGCGUACCCUUCACUCAUCCCGGCAAAGUUGAUGCCAGAAUAAUGGGAGCCGAAGACCCCGAAGGCUCGCCGCAUGCCGACGUGAAGCGCGUCCAUGGCGAUCUCGCGACGUCGACGGCGUACCCCAAGGACACGAGCCGGCAGAGAGCUCGACCCCUCCUCCGGAACUACGCCAAAGUCGUCACAGACGACGCGGACCGCAUCCCGCAAGGCGCCGUGCUCGCCGUGCUCCGCGUCGAGCAAACCCUUCAGCUUGGCGAUUUCGCCUGCAGGAACCACCCAGAAAAGCCCACCAAGUCAAGAACAGAACACAAAAUGUCACGGGAACGCGGGAACGGAAAAAAAAAGCCUCACCGUCGGCCCAGGCCUUCAACUCGCGCUCCCGGUCGGCUCCUUGAGACACGGCGGACUGGAGUCCCUGCACUUGCGAGCGAAGGCGACCAGUCUCCGCGCUAAGGGCUUCACGCUCCCCCCUCAGCUGUGCAAGCUCCCCGGCAUCACGACGGGCCCUCUCAGCGGCAGCUUGAAGCUCCUCGGCGUCGCGGCGGACCCUCUCAGCGACAGCUUGGAACUCCUCGUGGUCGAGGCGGGCUUUCUCGAUGACGGCUUGGAGCUUGGCCUCCGAUCACCGCGCCUCCUCCAACGCCGCCCCCUCACGCCUUUGCAGGUCCCGAAUGACCCCCUGGGCGGCAGUGACUUGCAGGGACAGGUCCCUGGUGCGCUCCCUCUCCGCGUUGAAGCGCUCCCAGAGACCCUGCUGCAGCCGAAGGAAAUCAGAUUUCCCCCGACUGCCCUCUUGGAGGGCCUGCAAAGCAACGUGCCAUUAGAAAAAAAAAAGCAAAAGGGAGGUGCUGAUCACCAACAGUAGGAGCAACAUACCUGGCUGCCAGGGAGGACGGUGUUACCCAGAACCCCCAACGCCGAAGACAGAGCCGCCUCAACGUGGGCAAGGCCGCCCUGCAUCGCCUGCCACUUGUGCCACUCAGUGGCGUCGUCCAGCGUGAAGAGAUGCCUCGGCGGGUCAUCGCGGGAUGACCAGCGAAGGACAGACCCCCUCCACGCCCUGGGAACGGAGGGAGCCGAGGCCGAGGCAGGGGCCGAUCCUGACGCUGCCGUCAAGGUCGGCACCAUUGCACUAGAAGCCGCCGAGUUUACUGACGGCCCCGGCACCUGCACGCUCGUCGCCGCCGAGGCCGCCGGCGGUAUCCCAGUGGGCCCCUCCGCCUCCGCCGCCGGAGCCACUCCCGCGGGGGUAAUUGGGGCGGAGGCCCCCGCCUCCGUCACCGUUGCCUCCGCCGCCGCGCUUUCGGGGGCAGGCGUUCCCUCCGCCACCGAUCCCGCCGCGGCUGCGGGGGCAUCCGCCCUACCUCCCGUCGCCGCCGUCUCCUCUGCCUCGUCGGCGUCGAAGUCGAUCACCUUCCCGGCCUGAGAACCCGGGGGGAUCGUGCCCUGCGCUGUAGGGGCGACUGGGGGGACCGAAGGCGGAGUAGGGUCCGCUCCCCCUCCCACGGCUGACACCGCCGUCGCUCCGCCGGCCGCCACCACAGGGGCCGCCUCCGCGGAGGGGUCCGCGGCCUCACCAGGGACCCCGCCGCUCGCCGCGGGCGGGACCGCGGUCCGCCCCCCAGAGGAGGUUGACAACCGCAACGCCUUCUUAGGCACCAGCUGCAGGGCAAGGCCACGAGGGGCGGCGCUGCAUAUCGACAAACAGACGUCAGCACAAACGAGCGUGAGAAGAGGAGAGGAACGAGGCGCAAGGAAGGCCAACUUACGUCCUUGAAGCACAAGGGCGGCGCGCGCGCUUCGACUCAGAGCCCGACGCCGACCCCGGGGCAUCUGGCAGCGGCCGCUUGUCGCCACUUCGCUGCUCUCCAGUCGCGGGCACGGCGGUGGAGGCAGUCUCUGCAGAUCUCCGAGGAGCACCCUGAGCGGACUCCUGGGGAGCGCCCCGCGCCGGCUCUGAAGUGGCGGCGGGGGCAGGCUCCGAGGACCCCCGAGGGGCGCUCCGCGCCAGCUUUGGGAAGGAGCCCCGUGUCGACCCCUGGGGGGCACCCUUCACCGACCCCUGGGGAGCGUCCCGCGCCCGCUCCUGGGAGGCACCCCGCGCCGGCCCCUGGGGGGCGUUCCGCGUCGACUCCUGGGGGGCGUCUCGUGCCGGCUCCGAAGCGGCGGCGGGGGCAGGCUCCGAAGACCCCCGAGGGGCGCUCCGUAUCGACCCCUGGGGGGCACCCCUUGCCGACCCCUGGGGAGCGUCCCGCGCUCGCUCUUGGGACACGCCCCGCGUCGGCCCCUGGGGGGCGUCCCGCGUCGUCUCCUGGGGACACGCUGUACUGGCCCCUGGGGCGCAGCCCCAGGGCCUGGUGGAGCCGAAGCCCGGGCGGGCGCCUCCUCCACUUCACCUCCCGCGGCCGUCCGCGGGGGUGCCUCACGAAUGGCGAGGGCGCCCGAUCGGAAGGAGGAAAUCAGCUCCUCCUCAUCAUCAUCUUCCUCAUCUUCAUCCUCUUCAUCAUCGUCGUCAUCAUCGUCGUCGUCGUCAUCGAACACGACCGACCCCCUCCGCCGCCGUUGGAACUCCUUAGCGGCCUUCUUCCUCUUCUUCGCCAUCUCGAUGUCCUUCCGGCGCUUCUGCGCCUCGGCGAGGAGACGGUUGUGCGUCCGCCGCUCAACAUCUUCCGGCACCGGCGGGAGCGAGUGCGCGACCCGGGUUAGCGGACCCUACAAACGCAAAGCAGCUCCACGUCAGAGUGACAAUCGCAAGACACGAAGAAAGGAGGAGGACGCCCCAACUCCUUACCAGAUCUAUGAGCCCGCAUCCGGGCGCAUCGGCGGGUGCCCGGGAAUCGGGUACUCGACGUCCUUGUCCUCCAGCGCCUCCCGAAUCCGUUGCCGGAUCUCGGAAGCGACGAGCGCACCCGUCGCCAAGGCGGUGCCCUCGGUCGGCGCGUCGGGGGUCAUGGCGGCAAGCGGUCGGAUUCAGAGCAUCAGUGGCGCCACCCGUCGGGUGUGGUACGCUCCGAUGACCCCGGCGCCGGUGAGCCCGUCCCGCUUCAGCCGCUCGAUGGCCUGCAGCAGGUCGAAGAACCGCUUCUUGUCCUUCUCCACUGGCCCGUACGCCCACACCUCCGGCGCCGCGUCGAUGGUACGGCCGGUGAAAGCCGGCAGGGGGGAGUUCGGGUAGUUCUUCACAUAGAACCACUGGUUGUGCCACCCCUUGUGGGACGCCGAGGUCUUCAUCGUCAUGUUCUCCUUGGAGCGGGUAUGACGAAGGUGGAUCCCGGCGCACCCGAUCGGCACCGGAGGUGACCGCUGCUGGCUCCCUCGCUUCUCCGUCUUCUGGUACAGGCUCACUGUGAAAAAGUAUUUCCACAGCGAGAAGUGGGGCUCAAUGCCUAGGAAUCCCUCGCACAGGGCGACGAACGCCGCAAUGUGCUGGAUCCCAUUGGGUUUGAGGUGCUGGAGCUCGAGCCCAUAGUAGUGGAGGAGCCCCCGAAAGAAGCGGCUCGAGGGAGAGGCGAACCCCCGCUCAUGGAAGUGAGCGAAGGAGACGAUGUAGCCAGAGAGAGGCUCCGGCACCUGCUCCGGGCCCGACAGCAACCACUCAGCCGCCUCCGUCUUCUCGCAGAGGAGGCCUUUUCGCACCAGGCCCUCGGCGCGCGAGGAGGUGAAAUGGGAGAUCCCCCAGGAACCCAUCGCCGGAGGAGGGAGAUCAACGGAGGUGAGAAGAAAGGGCACGGCUUGGAGCAAAGGAAACGAAGCGGGCACGGACAAACUGAACGCUAGGCUGGAGGGCGGAAAGGCUCGAAUGCAGAAGGCGGGCGGAACCGGCGCGGCGGGCUCCCGUUUUUAUAGGAAAGGUACGGGAGAAGCCAAAUCGACGCCCCGGCCGCCAUAAAUGCGGCGCCAGGUACGCCCCUGCCACGCCCGUUUCCUUUUCGAAAACCGCGCGCACGGCCGGCCGCGAAAACAUCCUAUCCUCCUCGAUUCGCGGGAUGGCGCUUCCCAUAACUCCACCUCCCGGAAGGCACGACGUCCCCCACGUUCGGCCCAGACGUCACGACCGCUCCGUUCUGGCCCAAGGCCCACCGAAAGGUAAGAAAGGGAUACGGGGCUGAAAACGCCCCUACGGCCCAUUACGGUCCAGAGGUUCGAAGGCUGGCCCACCGCGGGAUCGACAGCUGCCUCAGGAUAUCUCCCGAGCAAGGGGUGAGAAGGGACGGGUCCACUAGCGGCCAACACCCAGGCAAGCGAAAGCCAAGGGCGUCCCGACCUCACGUUCGAGUCCCGUCCGGUAUAAAGUUCAUGGUUUUUCCACGGGGAAAGGCAACGAGCCCCCGGAUUCGGCCGAACGGACCCGGGAACUAUAUGAACUGGCCGGCGGGAAAUUGUAGUACGCCACCAGCUUGGCCCGAGCCGGACCCCCCCGAACGGGGACCGGGACUCCACUCGAACCUACCUGUUCGCAGCUCAAAGCGAGCACCACGGUUCGUCCAACUAGGAUAACGUGGCACGGCUCAACCCCUCCGUCCUAGCGAACGGACGCUUGAGGGGCAACGACCAAAAGUCGACCUGGCCUCCCGACCGGUCUCCCGCAACGAGCAGGGGCUCGGGGGCUAGCAUCGCAACCAACGACCAUGCGUAUGGUCACGAUUCCCAGGCUCCCCGGCCAAACCGGGAUGAAGCAAGCGCACCAUAAACAAAAUCCACGGAGAAACGGCGAAAGAAGCCUCCGGAGGAGCACUUUUUGCUCCACCACAGGCUCGGGGGCUACUGUUGGGGGGAAAUAUUAACGAUCCCCUAAAUACCGCUUAAAGGAGCAGACGCGAAGGCCCGGGCCCACCUAAGCAUAAUCAAAACUCCGCCUCGCCCGACCGCGGCCUCAGGGUCAGGAACGCCCGACUCCCCUCCACGAGGUUUCCGCCUCGUCCGACUACGGCCCCAGGGUCGGAGGCGCCCGACCCCUCGCCACAAGGUUCCGCCUCGUCCGACCCCAAGCGCAAGGGUCGGGCUCGCUGGGGCCCCCAGGGCAGGCAUCCCCCUCGGAUGCGGACCAGGUGGGCAAGGUAAACAAAUGCUGCGGGUCCCUCCCCCGUCGGGCUCAUCAUAAAUGCGCCGCAGGCCUGGCAGAGGGAGGAAUGACCGUGCUCCUCACACAACCCGCCGCAAGUACCCAUGCACGACCAUACUCUACAAGCUACAGCGCUGGCGGCUCACUCCCAUUCGCCGCAGGGUACUCAUGGCCUGCGCCGACCGGAGCGGAGGAGAGACUCGCCUGUCCUCGGGCCCCGCGCACCCUCGGGUCCCGUGCGCCUGGCAGCUAGGAUGUGACGCCCUCUCUCCAGGAGCCAUCAUCAGAACGGCAGCAUCCACCGUCCUCCCCAACGGACACCGGGAUAACGACGAAACGCCCUCAUCAUAACCCGACGCCGACGGAUGCCGAAGGAGCUAUCUGUAGGGUGCGACGACAGUUGGCGCACGGCCGCCUCCCCCUCCGGCAUGCACGCCGGCGCUCGCCAGGAGCCGGCGGAGGCGUCGGGCGUCUAGGAACUUGUUCCUCCCAUCCUGCCGUAUUUUUUACCGUACUACGUUCACAUUUUACGGUCCUCUUCGCCCGAUCCCAACUGUAACUCUGGCCACUCCCCUUGCGAUAUAAAAGGAGGAAGACAGGGCCGGAGGGGGGAUCGGCUUCUUCCCCCUCAAGCCACAGCACGCUAGUACGCUCCCUGAGAACAUAGGCACAAAGAGACUUGGGACCAGUCCCUCUCUCGUCGGUCUGUAACCCCUACUACAGAACUCCGCGUGGGUAAUACGAGCAUUCACGAUACUGGACGUAGGGCUCCCUUUGCCCGAACCAGUCUAAUUCGUGUCUCCCACGCCACCAUCUGAGGCCUUACGCGCAUAAAAGAAAUUUACUAGUCUAAGUCUUGAUCCGCCAAUCUUGACAACGACAAAUCUAAAAAUCCAUAACUAAUUAAUUUUAAAUCAUAAAAGUUUGAAACUAUUACCCAUCAUCUUUUUCUAGAAUGUUACCUUUUAUGUUGGUUUUUUUGAGUUAUUUGCAUAUUAUUGUCCCCAUCUCUAGUGUUUUAUUGCUUGUAGUCAAACCUACUAUUUAUUUAUUGUUGUUUUGCAUUGUAUGAUUAUUGGAUGCUAUGCGAUACAAAGAUAAUUGUUCAACAACCAUAUGCAUCAUGAAGAAAUUUCCGGAUACGAUUGAUAUUAGUACAUUAUUAACUUCUUAUCAAGAAAUAUCAAUGAAGUGUUUUAUAUGAAUAUUUUUAAUGCACCUUGAGUUUUUGGAUAACCUUUUUCAUAAAAGUUAAUUAGAUGCAUUCUUAACUAAAUAAGCCAUUUGGUAAUUUUUCAAAAAUGUUUAUUUAGGUAACAGAAAAUUUAUUUAUUUAUUCUGGAAAAAGUUUUUUUUUAACGAAGUUAGCAAGGAAAGCACCUACCUAUUCUUUAAUUGUUAUUUUAGAUCCGUUUAAUUCGCUCCCACGAGAAGUUGAAUAUAGACCUGCAGGAUGUUACUCAGGUGCUCUAACCACUAGACUAGAGUCCCUUUCGCUUCUGAAAAAGGUUUUACAAAAAUCUUUUCCCUAUUAUCUUUUGUUAAGUCUGGGAUGUUGCCGCACGUGGGAAAGAAAGAACGGGAAACAUAGACCGAGACCGCUGCUGCGCCGCCACCAUGCUUCGCCGUUGGAGGGUUAGGGUUCGGGGUUUCGGGUUAUGGGUCAUCGAUGGCGCGGCUAUCUCCGAUGUGGCUGGGAUAUAUGGGAGGUUGACGGUGGCUAGGUAGCAGGCGGUGGUGGCGGGUUGUGUGCGGGAUGGCGGGACACCACCAGUUCCGAUUUGUGGAAGACAAUAGGUGGCCUCUAGAGGCAGCGGGGGAAUCUUGGUGAGCUUCCCGCGCGGGGCUGGGUUAGGGCGGCGAAGGAUGGUGGCGGUGGAUGUGGCAGCGCGAGCCGCCGGAGAUGAUGGAGGAUGGCGGCGCGGGCGCGAGCAAAGGAGGACAGUGCGAUGGUGAUCGAGGGUUGCGACCGGCGACGCCGGAUGCAGUGGCGAGAGCCGUCGGAGCUAGAGGAGGAGGGCAGCGCGGGGGCAUGGGCGUGCGCGCUCCUGGGCUGCCAUCACUGAAGGUGACAUUGGUGAUUUUUGUCACCUUCUGUGAUAUAUAGAUAUAGACAUGCUCUAGAUAGAGGACUCCUUGGAGAGACCCCGAGAAUGGAGAUGGGCAUUUGGAGCUCUUCCAAAAUAAGGAAUCUAGAGGACUUGCUAGAAUGCAUUUUUUUUGACUUGGUCCAUUGGAGUUGUUCUAAGCCAACAACUAUUAGCAUCCUUUUAGAUAACUCUGUUAAUCUGAAAUACAACAGUUUCCUACUUUAUGUAUAAUGAGUGUCAUUGCGUCACUACGUACGAGGUCUACUUUAUGGCGGAUCUGAAGGUGUGUUUGGUUGGGAUGUGGCUUUUGGAAAAGCUACUGUGAGCUGUGGGCUGUGAAAAAGUAGCGGGGAGAAAGCAGCUGUGGGAAAAGCAGAAGACCGUUUGGUUAGAGCAGCUACGAAACUGUAGGUUGUGUAAGAAAUACCUGUAAUGCCCCUAAAGGUCUGCGGGUGUGUUUACAUGCAAAUUGCUCAUAACAAAAUAAUGUGUUCACUAAUUCACAUGUAAAUGACUAUUUUAGAAAGGAAAAAAAAUAAAUUUUAUAUGUUCUUCAUCCAUAUAAGUGAUUGGUCCACAUAAAUAGAACAAUAUCCAUCAAAAGGUUUAUACAAUGAUGUCAUCUCUCAACAUUACUGUCCUCCUCUCGCACUAACCAAAGCAUCAACUAUCCUAGCAUGAAUGAUAUUCAUGGUAUCCUCAUUCUCCAUAUCGUCACUCUCAUCUCCUUGUGUUUGUCUCGUGCCACUUGUAUAUUGUACCAAGUACUCCUACAAAACCGAGUUAGUAAGGUACAUAAUAAUACACGUAUUUCUAACUUGAUGAAGGAAUCAUGUAUACCUUUAGGAGGCACGAGAAAUAUGUCUCAAAGCAUUGUCGAGAAAAUUGAAAGAAAAGAUGAUGAACAAAGGAGGGUCAAUUCUUGUUGCUCUUUGGACUAGAGGAUUGACGAUGAUCAUUGCAGUCCUAACAAUUCUCUUGUUGCAGAACAGAGUAGCAACUUCUGAGUAGCAUAUGAUUCUUACAUCUUCCAGGCGAGGUGGCUAGUGUGCUGGAUGAAGUUGAGGUCCCUUGGCAACCUGGCAAACGCCUCCGUCAUGUCUGCAGGCAAAAUUUCCAAAAAAAACAAGAAGAUUUCAACACCACCAACAAAGCAAGCAUGUAAUCACCUGAUUAAUCAAUCAGCAAACAAUUCACAACUAGCAAUCUGUAGAAAUUAGCACGCCAUUACCGUCCUGGGUGAUGAGCGGGUAGUCGGAUGCGUUGAGGUUGACGAACCAGUCCCAGCGGCGGUGAAGGCGGAGCAGCAACGCGACGGCGUGCAGCGUGGUGGUGAGCAUGGUGGGGCCCCGGUAGGUGACGAGGUUGGGCCUGCCGACGAUCCACACGUUGCCCGCGAUCGCGUACACACCCCACCUGGACAUGAGCUCUGCCAGCCGGCAGUGCUCCUCCCCUGGACCGCAGGUAGUUGUUGGCCGGGUGGUACAGUGCCGCCAGCAGCCGCAUCGUGCGGCCCACUUCCCCUGAGGAUGCCGAGAUAAGGUAUGCGAACGAGAUCGGGUACCGCGGCGCCUCGCCGGCGGCACCGUCGAAGGCGGCCAACGAUGAGAGUGUUGACGUCGGUUUUUGACACGUGUCAGGGUCGACGUCAAGAGGAGAAGAAAGUGGCUGAUGCGGUUAAACAAGAAGCUAUGGCUAGAGAAAUCAGUCAGUAAAGCUAUAGUGUUUCAGCCGAUUAGCUAAUGAGAUAGAUGAAGACUGGCCGAUUGGAAGCUAGAAAAGCUCGGCCGAUAUGGGCCUAAAUGGGCCAAGGUGGUAACAAGAUGAAGAUAGGAUUGGCCCAUAGAGGAUUGGAUGGUGUUCGACUCCGAUACAAGUUGUAUCCGUAUGUAAAUAUUUGUUGCUUUGAAUAAGAAAUAGAAUAUUGAGUCAUAGUCGGUUAGGAAACGAGUUGUAACAGGGUAUAAAUAGGUGCCCCGUGAGGCUGGCAAAAACAUCAACAAACAUCAAUACAAAUCUACUUUUUCAUGCAACUUUACUUUCAUGUCGGCGACUUUGCCAAACCCUUUUCUUUUCACGAGUUCGUGUGAGUUGGCAGGGCUGCAUCAACGUGAUCUCCGAGCAAUUUGUAAGUUCCGCGUUUCGAGUAAUAUAUAAGCUUUAACUUUGGGCGUAUCGCUGUUGUUUUGUUUAGAUUUAUUCACUAGUUAUCGAUAUUUGCUAGAAUUAUAGGUUUUAUUCUCCGGUGGAAAGAUUGUGCCUUUGCCUGUAUUUCUCUUGCACUAAACUCAGGCGAUACCUAUUAUCGGCGGAAUGUGUGGUCGCGUGUAAAGUUGAUGUUGUCAAGUAUAUGUUAUCACUGCCGAUCUUGAAGGGAAGGAUUGGAAAAUGUAUUCUGGCACUCUCAGAAUUCGAUCUCAGGUACGAAUCGGCCAAGGCCGUCAAGGGUCAGGUAAGGCUGAUUUCGUCACCCAACACUGUGGAUCAGAAAUUACUGUCGUUGAGCCGGCUCCAUGGACUCUGUACUUCGAUGGAUAUUCGUGUGGGAUUGGAUCAGGAAUCGACAUAAUUCUUAUAUCGCCUCGGGGGGCAAGUUAUGAGUUCUCUCUGCCGAUUGAGGCUUCCGCUACUAAUAAUCAAGCAGAAAAUCGGGCUGUCUUAAAGGGCAUCCAAUUAUUGAGGGAGGUCAAGGCUGACGUGGUAGAAAUAUUUGGGGAUUCCAUGAUUAUCGUGGAUCAGUUGAUUGCAAAGUGUGAGUGCAAGGAUGAUAUUCUAAGGAUUUAUUAUGAGGAAUGCCUCCGGUUGCUCAAAGAAUUCAAGACCGUAACUAUUGAACAUAUCCCUAGGGAUUACAAUGAGGAAGCCAAUAGACUUGCCCAGCACGCUUCUGGCUACUGGCCGAUUCAUGGCGCUUUCGCUCUAGAGCUGGCGGCCGACAACUGGAGGAAGGAGAUCGCCGAUUAUUUAAAGGAUCCAUCCAAGAAAGUUGAUCGGCAGAUACGCUUCCAAGCCACAAAGUAUGUGUUACUUGAAGAUGAAUUGUUUUAUCGGACGAUUGAUGGAGUGUUUCUCAAGUGCCUUAGCAUUGAGGAAGCAAAGAUUUUGAUGGGUGAGAUUCAUGAAGGUCUAUGUGGGACCCAUCAAUCGGCUUUCAAGAUGAAGUCGAUGAUUAGAAACAAUGGGUAUUACUAGCUGACAGUACUUGAAGAUUGUUUCAAAUAUUAUAAAGGCUGUCAGGAUUGUCAAAAAUUUGGCAACGUGCAACGAGCCCCGGCCUCGGCUAUGAACCCGAUAUUAAAGCUGUGGCCAUUUAGAGGCUGGGUAAUUGAUCUCAUCGGUUAGAUCUAUCUGCCGUCAAGCAAAGGGCAUAAGUUCAUAUUGGUGGCGAUUGACUACUUCACCAAGUGGGUUGAGGCGGUUCCUUUGAAUGUUGUGAUGUCGGCCAACAUGAUCGAAUUCAUGAAGGAGCACAUCAUUUAUCGAUUUGGUAUUCCUCAGACCAUCAUGAUUGAUCAGGGGUCAAUGUUUACCUCAGGGAGUUCGAGGAGUUCACUGCCAGUAUGGGAUUAAGCUGUUGAAUUCUUCUCCGUAUUACGCUCAGGCCAAUGGUGUGACGACCCCGGUUAAAUCUUUCGAGUUAAUCUUAAUACGAGCCCCAAAAUUCCUCUGUCUCAGUUUUUCCCGAGCAGGAGUGCUCCACUCCAGUUCCUGUUCCUGACCCGUGAAGACUCUAACUCACCCCGCCAGUUCCUUUUAAGUCUCAACAACAGUGUCCCUUUCAAUCUUGAACAGAGGAAAGACCGAGACUGACGGAUGGACCCGCAAUCUUUUCCCCGGAUCUCCCGAGGCAUACGCACUCGAGCGGCCUGCACCGCUUCAGAGCUCCCCCGCCGCGUGGCUCAACUUCUCCGACGCCCGCCGCUUCACCCAAUCGCCGGCCGGGACAGGAUAGAUUCUCACGCCCUCCUCCCCAAUCGCAGCGGAAGCCCCUCUGCAACCCUUUCUGCUGCGCCUCGUCUCGCUCGCGCCCUCGCCGGCCGCGCCUUGGUGCUCCGACACCGCUGUGGCAGAGCUUUGCCGCUUGCUGCAUCCAAACUACCUCGCAGCUCACGCCCGUCAUCAUCUCACUGGAUCCCCGACUGCAAGGCCCGAUGCCUUCCGACUUUUCCACCGCCUCUACACAGUCGCGCUCGCCUGCGCAGCCGCAGCCUGCCUAUCUUUUCACCGGUUGCAACCUCGCUUGUAGCGCCGUUCUCCCUGUCACACCCAUCAGAUCCGCCGCAUGACGACGCCCGCCUCCGCCAAACCUCAACUACCGGCAAAACCGCGCCUGCGCCGCCUUGUCUCCCGUGCCCAAUAGCCAAGGACCCUAUCUCCGAAAUCCUGUUCCGCCGCCCAUCGACGCCCAGUCGCCGCCAUGGCAGCGCACUCCAUCCUUUUCUUCCGGUCUUCGUGCUACUCCAACUCCCUCUCUCUUUCGCGCAGCUAUAAAAAGGAAUGCCAGAGCCCUACUGGAGAUCCCUUCACCAUCGUUGCCUCGCCGCCUUGUUCCUGAGCGCCGCCACCUAAGUUCUUGAGGAACUCUCAUCUUCGCUCAACACCCGCCCCUCCCAAUCCACCAAGCCGCCUGCUCCUCCACGCUAUGCUAGAGCUUCCUUGUUGCUCACAAGAAGCUCCGCCGCCGCCGGAGCACCGCCGGACAUAGCCGCCACCAAAGCCUUAGUGCUUAAGACCUUCCGCCCAAGUCUACUCCUUCCCGACCCCAAAGCUUCACCUAUAAACCAAAGGUAAGCUGCCGACCCCUUACCGGUUCGCCCGACCCUACCUGUUCGCCUGACCCUACCUGUUCGCCCGACCCCUCUUUCCAUCUCGCCCGACCCUGUCUGUUAGCCGGCCCUUAUCUUCUUCGCCCGAGGACUCGGCUGUACUCUUUUCCUUGACCCGAGGGUAUCUGUGUAAGAUUUCGGGGACUUCUCUGUAAUAGCUUUGAGGACCCCAAACACAUUAAGGCUUAUGGGUCAGAUCAUAAGUUCUUCCAAUUCGACCCUUGGUCUUGUUCUCUAUCCACUGAAGCUUGAACCCCCACACUCUUUCCGUAGCUUUGCUACAAGUUUCUGGGCUAAGACUUGCGAGUGUUGCUGUUGAAAUAACCGUCUAGACACUAACUCCAGCAUUGCAUUCGUGUAGAGUUUCAUCUUGCUGACGGCGUCUACGAACUACACCCGGUGCCAGAAGACGGAGCUGUAGCUGAGCUACCAGUUCCAGAAGCCGAAGUCGCACCAGCUGAAGACCCGCUUCCCUCCCCUCCACUUGAAGGCAAGUCCCGGAGCAUGAACCCCAAAGUUUCCCAAACUUGCGCAUGCCUUCUUUCUCAUGUUUGUGCAUUUACGUAUAGGAGUUGUUUGCAACCUUAGAUGCAUGGUAUAGUUCCUUGAUCGGAACACUAGUUGUUGAAUCGAGUAGUUGCUAUGCUUAAAUAGGAAGUGGUAAAAGUCGAGUGAUUUCCUGUCACUCGCGAGUUAUAGGAGUUGGUUGUUCUCCUUCUGUUACAACUAUAAGGACGAUGGAUGGGGCAAGGUUUUGGUUAACUCUUUUGCUAGUCGGCUGAUCCCCCCGUCUGUCUAUGGAAUCUGUUAAGGCCCGAUAGUGGUGGUGUUCGUGAUCAAGUGUUUGAAAGUACUAAUCUCAUACCUAGUAUGGGAUGGGGAAGCCUAGUACCUGAUUGAACUAGGGCGUGGCUUAUACCCCUGCUGUCCCUGGAACGAGGUUCCCAUGGUGCAUCAUGUGGGUGCAAGUGCGGUCACAGUACGGUAGAGGCCGGGAUUGUGGAGCAUUGCAUGCCAAGGGAAGUUGGACCUGACACGUGCCUGGGAAUUGAUGGGGACGGCUGACACAGGAAGCGACCCUUGUGGUGCGCGGAUGUCGUGAGAUUAGGUUUGCCAUGCAUGGUUAAGAAACUCGAAGGAUUCGUCUGCCUCUCACAGUUUGAGACUGCUUGAUCGCUAUGCUACACUGAUUAAUGAAAGAGUCUGAUGAUGACAUGGUCUUGAUGAGUAGCUUAUAUACAUAAAGUUGGAUCUAUGUUUGCUUAGAGUAAGAUGCCAACGUAGACUGGUUAAUGAACUUAGAAUUUGAGCUAAAACUUGAAAGCAAGGACCUAACGUAGUAGCUUUUGGCAAACAAAACCCCUCAGCCAAAGAGCCUUGCAUGUCUAGACGUGGUGGAGUAGUUUUACCACCGGUCGGUUAAGUCUUGCUGAGCGUAGCAGCUCAACCUUGUUUGUGGCUUUCUUUUCAGGUGAAGUCGCAGCUCCUGAGUUUGCUUCCGUUGGCACUUGGCCGCCCCAGCUCCCUCCGGGUUGGACGGUUGAGUGGGAUCCUUCCUCGGACGGUGAGGAGAGGGAUCAUUGAUGUCCUGAUCGGCCUCAUUAGGGACAUCCGACCCUGGCGCUAGCUUCCGCUAAUUUAGCUUUCCGCUGCUUUUGAAUCUUGUAAAACUCUGAUUUUUGUUUUUAUGUUGAACUAAAUUGUCAAACUUGUUUAACUCAGUGGAUCUGUUGUAUUCUCUGAAACCGCUCACCUUCGUGUGAGUUUCGCUAAUCCGGUCCUGUAAGUGGUUUAAUCGGAGGAAAUCCGACGGCCCUUCGAGUUAACUUGACUAAGGCAUAAGUGUCGCGUGUCAGGCGACUUAACAAUGCUUUAAUCAAGGUAAUCCGAGGUGGUUCCACCACAAAUGGUCAGGCCAAGUCAUCAAAUAAGGGGGUUAUUAAACUGAUUAAAAGGAAGGUCAAAAAACAACCAAGACGGUGGCAUACAACGCCGAAUGAGUCCUUAUGGGCUUAUCGGAUGGCUUGCCGCGGUGCCACCAAGGUGUCCCCUUAUCAGUUAGUAUAUGUGCAUGAAGCAGUAUUACCUUGGGAGUUGAAGACUGGGUCUAGACGUGUGUCACUUCAGAAUCAGUUGUCGGUUGAUGACUAUUCCGCCCUCAUGAGGGGAGAAUUGGAAGAUUUGGCGAAUCAACAGCUAAGGGCUUUGAUCAGCAUUGAGGAAAAUAAGAAAAGAGUCACCAGGUGGUAUGACAAGAAGGUCAAGGUCAAAAGGUUUUCCCAAGGGGAUUUAGUCUGGAAGUUGGUUCUGCUGAUAGUAUGGAAAAUGGUCGCCCACUUGGGAAAGGCCAUAACGGAUUAGCCAAUGUGCUCUAGGCAAUGCAUACAUACUGGAGACUUUUGAGGAAGAAGAAUUUACAAGGGCCUUGAAUGGAAGAUAUUUGAAAAGAUACUACCCUAGUAUAUGUGUAGGCGCUUAGCCGAUGAUGUGGCAUAACGGGCUUUCACGGUCGACGCGUACUGAUUCGUGUUCAUAUAGCCGAUGCAAGGGGCAUCGCCUUAAGAUUGAAAGAGGCGAAAUAGUGUAUAUAUAACUAAACCGAUCAUUAUUCGGUACACCAACUAAAUAUAUGGCCGGCAUGAUACAAGUCGCCCUUAGAUAAAAAGUACCGACACAGUUAUGGGUUACAACGAUUUAACAACGUUUCAUGUGAGCUUUAUUCAUAUCGAUUUCUUUCUGAAGUCGAUCCAAUUCGAUCUGGAGUCGGGCGUUCUUCUCCUCUAGUUCUGCCAUGUCAUCUUCAACAGCAACUUGACAGGGUAACAGAUGGCUUCUUUCGACUGAUUGCCGUGGUUGCCUUCUAGAAGCUUUAGCCUCGAUGUCAUCCACAAUCCUCUUGAUAUUCACGGGGAGGUGAUCUCUGAGUUCCUCACGAUGAGUUUGGAUCAGGUCUUUGUCAGCCUGAGUGAGCGGUUCAUCGGAGUGGAGGAUCUCAAUGGCUCGUUCAAGAUCACGGCUGAGUCGGUUUGGCUACGAGAAGAAUUGAUGAUCAAUUGACAGAGGGAUUGGUCGAGAGAUAGGAGAUUGACUUCGUACCUGAUUGACAGAGGAGGAGGAGGCCAUCUUGGUCGCUCGAUCGAAGAUUUGUAAGCGCGCGCAAGGAAUGGUUGAGUGGGUGUUUUGCGAAUGCCUUCAGAAGGGAUGCGAAGGGUUUGUACUUAUAGAACAGAAUGGCAAUGGACAAAGGUCGGUAAAAGGAGGGCAUUUAAAGAAAGCGACCGUUGAGUCAUAAAAGCUACGUGAGGACUGUUCAGACUUGCAUUUCAGACAAAAACGCCAAAAGUAUCAACGUUACACAAGAUGUUCAAAGGCUGGUUGAGUUCGUUACAACUAUCCGAGGAGAUUGUUUAUGGUCUCAAUCGCUCGCAGGCGAACUUGGUUGGCCACCUCCAACACUCGCCGAUCAUCAUCGGCUGAUCCUAAGACUUCUGGCGCAUUGCGAUGAAGAUGGAUGGCCUCGUGAGUGAGGGAUUGUCUUUCUUGUUUAAAAUCAACGAUGGCGGUUGGAAGAUCUUCAAGUUUCUUUUCUUCGGUAGCGAUAGCCUUUACGACCAGUUCCAUCUCCUUGGUGAGCUCUGCUCUGCGCCAUUUGAGUUGGUCUAUUUCACUGAUGAUGCUUGGAUGAGAAGUCUCAUGGAGACCGAUCUACCGAUGUACGUGUUGUGCACGGUGCUUGUAGGACUCUUCUUCUUGACGCACCAUCUCCAAUUUAGCACGGUCAGCCAUGUGUCGCAAGGCUCUAAACACCGGGACCCGCAUGGUUUCGAUAUAUGCUGCGGGUGUGAGAACCUCUUCUGCGUCUUCUGGGACUUGGCCUUUGAUCUCGUUGAAAAUCCACCGUAUCAGUUUGGCAUCUUCCACCAAUCGACCGAUGUUUUCCUGAAGAAGGGUUCGCAUGUUUUGGAGCUUGGCACGGACAUCUUCUGGUAUUGAGCUCAGAGUUAUUUGGCGUGAUGCAACUUCUUCGUCAUCAGAGACCGCAAUUGCAGAGGAGAAGAGGCUUUUGUUUGGCGUGUCUUACUCCUGCAGGGAUGUGGGAAAGUGUUUUAGCCGAUAAAAGUAAAAAAUCGGCUGGUAGAUAUAGAAGGUUCUUACCUCCUUCAAACAAAUCUCUUCUGCUUGGGUUGGCAGAGUCGUUACUCCCACCUCAGAAGUUUGCGGAGGUAGCUCAUUAGAGGGGGAAGACUUGACAAUGAUCGGCUCUCUAGGCGUAGCUGAUAAUGUGCUUGGACCAGCCUCCUGGAAAAGGAACAAAGGAAUCAUUUUUGAGUAUAAAAUAAUACUGGAUCUAAGUAGAAGUCUCGGUUUUCUUACCUCUCGGACGCGCGCAGCCAACGGUAGCACCAGGGGAAUGACUGACGUAUCUGGAGCGUCCUGUGUCAAGAAUCGUCUGAUUUUAGUUAUCAGAACUGUGGAGACUAAGGGAAGAGCAUGUUCUUUACCUCAAUUUGAAGAUUUGUAGGUAACACAAUUUUAGCUUGAGAAUCGGCCAAUUAAGGAACAGUCUGCUCUAGGAUAGGUUGUACGGCCUGUUGAAAAGAAACAAAUUUAGUAUUGGUGAUACAUAUGAAGAAGUCAGAGCAGAAAGAUUACUCGUGUAGCUUUCACCAAGAGUAACACAAUCGCCGACCCAGCCUCUGAUGCUGCUAGGGGAUCAAUGUCCUGAAUUGCCGACAAUACAUCUGCUUGGAUUGGUGCGGCUGAGGGCUCGACCGAUGUUGCUGCCGAUUGGUGGGUUGUUCGAGUUGUCGUAGAUUCAGUACGAGCUCAUACCCUGCGACUCGUCUUCUUUGUGGUGGAUAUUUUGAGCUUAUGCUUCAAUCGGUUGGUGGCUAUGUCCUCCAUUGAUGGGGCGUGAUAGCCGAUGAGAGGGUACGGUGUGUACGGAUGAUGGGUCUGUAUCAGUCUGCCACUCUAACUGUGCGUUGGAGGCACUUGGCUAUCAACCUGUGCAGGGUAAAAGGAUAAUGAUAAGAAAGUUCUGCAACAUGUGAAAAUUAUUGGUAAGGAAUCGACAAAAAAGUAUUGUUACCUCUGCAUUCGGAUCAGUGUGAGCGGGGUCCAGUUGAUUGCAAUACACUGCAGGGGCCGCACAGGAAAGGUACUGUUUCCACUCGGCCCACCACAAUUUGAAUUGUUGAGUGGAGAAGGGGACCACCAGCCAAGCGCUCAGAUCGAUGGUGUCGGAAUCCGGUGUCAGAUUACACAAUCUGUUGUAUUCCAGUCCUUUUGAAAUCGGUUCUCAAAAUUUCACUCGGCCGACGAAGUGAAUCCGAUUGGUAUUUGUCCCAAGCCAAAUUGCCGAGCUGCUACCGACGGGUUAUAGAACUCAUAUGUUGGAGAGUCCUUGCCAGAGAAGAAAUUUGCCGGUAGAAUCCCAGGUUGAUCAGGGUGUCCAUGAUUCCUUCAUCGAAGGUAUCGGUAGCCUAGUCAAAACAGUCAGGAUUCUAAAAAGUUGGGUUCUCUCUCUGAUAUGGAUACCAAUUCGUCACCUCUUCUUUAAAGCUGUUGUAAAAGCAUCUAAAGUGCUCGGCUAUUCUUGAGGGGGCAAGCUUGCCGCCUGGGAAAGUGGAUACGGCUUCACUAAAGGAAGUACAGCGGCGUCUGGCCAAUGGGUCGGUUUCUGAUUUAACAUUAGGAAAGUCUUGGUCUCAAUCCGCUCCUUGAAGAUUUCGCUCAUAUAUAAGUUGAGCUAGAGAUUGACAAACCACCAAGGACCACCAGGAUUCCUGAUAGGUUCUCCAGAUGAUAGCUUCACGCCGAUGUGAUGCAGCAUGUAAUACACUGACCCUAGUAGAUGCUUUCCCAAAGGGACUGUGGCUCCUCUAACUAGUGCUUCGGCCAAAGCCUGUGUGUUGGAAGUAGGACUGGCUAAUUUACCACAGAAGACAUACCUUUCCUGCCACAUCAUCAAGAAGGUCGUGUGCUCUUUUUCUGUGUUGGGUCCGGUCCUCAUGUUCUUCUCAAUGUAGCCUUUCCAUGUGCUGAUGGCUUUCGUCUCCAGCCGAUGGGUGGGUUUGAUUAAGAAAUCGAAAGGUGAGUCGGUGGAGGAAACAUCGAGGCCAGUCAGCAUCAGAACAUCGGCCAGGGUUGGAGUCAUUGGCCCAUGGUCGAAAAGAAAUGCAUUGAGAGCAUCGGACCAAAAGUAAGAUGCCGCGAUGAGCAGAGAUUCUUUCUUUUCCAUAUGAGAUAGAGAUAAAUUUCUGCAAUGGCCGAUUUUUCGCUCAUCCCAGAAGACUCUGUUGGAAUUUGACAUUCUAAAAAACCAAUCUCUCCAUCCGGGGGUUUGAUUCGGCCAAGACUUGAAAGUGUUCGCCCAAUUGUCUAGUUCCAUGGUCGAUUGCUUAAAAGGGAUCCUGUGAGUUUCUAGUUUAAUCAGAUCGGUUGGGUUAGGAUCUCCCAUAGAGCCAAGAUCGAUGAAUCCAGGGGUGUUGGCCAUGGGAUGGUGAUUCUUUGCCUGAGUUCUUGAGCAAAUGCGAAGAAAGACUAAGAACAGAUCUAAAAUCGCGAAAAGAUGAGGAGAGCCUAGAAGACUUACCUCAGGAACGAAGGUCAUGGUAGCUAUGGGUGCCACCAUUGGAGCUUGGGAGUUGGUGCGGUCGGUGAAGGACGUGAGCAAGUCACUGGAGUGCGCUGGGAUGUGCCUAGAAGUGGCACGAGCAAGGUCGCUGGGGUGUGCCGGGAGAUGAUUCGCUGGAAAGGAAACCCUUUUCGCCCGGAGGAAGAUGAAGCGGCGGAAGAGAUGAGUAUCUGCACGAUGACUCGGGAGAAGGGUAAAUAUGAAAUUUUUACCACGCCGUCUGCGCUAAUUUCGAAAGGAGCGGUUGCCUACAGGUGCUCAGUUCGAAAAAAUGCAAUCAUCAAGGAGAAGAUUUCGGGAGCAAAGAGGGUUUUGCUGCAUUUAUUGUUGCGUCUUUUCUGAAAGAAGGAAUCAGAGUUGAGAAAAUUUCGGAGAAAAAGAUAUGUUUCACUAUGAAGCUGGGAGGCAUGUGUUGAUGCCAGUUUUUAACACGUGUCAGGGUCGGUGUCAAGAGGAGAAGAAAGUGGCCAAUGCGGUUAAACAAGAGGCCAUGGCUAGAGAAAUCGGUCAGUAAAGCUAUAGUGUUCUGACCGAUUAGCUGAUGAGAUAGAUGAAGACUCACCGAUUGGAAGCCAGAACGCUGGAUUUUGACACGUACUUGAAAUCGGUGUCAAAGAAGGAGAAAGGGGGGCCGAUGCGGCGGACUAGAAGCUACAGUUGGGAAUCGGCCGAUUGAAGCUACAAUGUUUCAGCCGAUUGGCGGAAGAAAUUGGUGGAGGCUGGCCGAUUGGGAGUCAAAGCAGUUUGGCCGGUUUGGGCCUAAGGUGGGCCAGGAUGAAUAUUUGCUGAAGAGACAGGCCCGUGGGAAAAUAAUAACCAACUCGAAUACGAGUCGUGUUUGUAACUAUUUGUUGUCGUUUGAAAUUAGAGAUAGAUUCUAGUCGGUUAGGAAAUCAGUUCCAACACGCUAUAACUAGCUACCUCGAGAGGCUUGUAAAAAAAACAACACAUCAAUCAAUACAAAAAAAAUUACUCUUUCCUCGUACUUUACUUUCAAGUCGGCGACUUCGCCAAAACCUUUUUCUUUCACGAGUUCGUACGGAUUGGCAGGGCUGGAUCUACAGGAUCUCCGGCCGAUUCUGUAAGUUCCACUUAUCGAGUAAUACUAAGCUUUAACUUCGGGCGCAUCGCUGUUAUUUUGUUUAGAUUUAUUCACCAGUUAUCGAUAUCAACUAGAGUCAUAGGUUUUACCUGUUAUUUUAGUUUUUAUCACCAAUUAUCCAUCUUGAGGUACGAACUGUCGGUUUUUAUUAUUCUUAUCCUUUAUCAUCACAUAGCCGAUUAGAUCUACUCCAAGUUUUGCUUCUGUAGUGUUGUUUAGGUUGCUGUAAAAGUUUUCCUUAUGAUUGCUACAUGAGUAUCGGCUGUCUUAUAGCCGGUCAUCUCUACGGUAAAUCGGCCGAUUCGCUGAUACGCUCUUCAAGACAGAUCGGAACUCUAGCCGAUCGAAACCCCUAGAAUUUAAUAUUCUUCUUUCCAUGUCAAUCAUUAGGUCAGAUUGACUGGCAUGCCGCGCGAACCGCACUAGGGCAAUAACUCGAACAGGAGCUAAGUAGAUUCUCCUGGGUCGUGUGUCCGACGCUGAGGGUCAUCGGCCAAUUUUCAGCACCAACACACUUUUGGCAUGCCCGGUGGGACCAAACAAGAUCCAACAUGUCGAAGGCUGCUGAGAUCUUUGAAGAUAACGUCCUUGAAGUCAUUGAAGAAAAUCUCAAGGACGAUCAGAAGGAGGAACUGGCGAGGGCUAUAGAAGAAUACAGGAAGACAUGCCUGCAAUCUUUCAUUCGUACCAGAAGCGGGGAGACAGUCAAGAAAGCUCCUCUCUCCACUUCCCGCCAAAUCACCGUCAUCGAGGACUCAGGGAAGAUGUCUGAGAUGAUUCAACAGUCCGUUUAUCAGGCUAUGAUUGACCAAUCCACGGUGAUGACCAACACUGUAUACAACGCCAUCAUCAGCUCCUUGGUUAGCGGCGUAGCUCAGGGGUAUCAGGGACUAGCGUAUGCUCCUCCCAUCGUGGCACCGAUCAGAGGCUUCUUAGCAGCGCCAAACGUGUGUCACUCGACUCCUCAACUAAUGCAGAUGCAACGUGGAGGGUACUACACUUCAAUGCCCCUGGGGUACAAUGGUGCAUCAUUCUAUCAAUCGCAAGAACCGUCUCAUCCUAUGCCAAUUUCAUCCAUACAAUCGCCGCUCUCAAACUCGGCGCCAUGGGGGGUAGCAGCAGCAACCGCCGGUCUGGAUCCGUCAACCAGUUAUGGAAAGUCUCCAGUCCAGGCGUUAUUCCAAUCGGCCGAGGCCGAUAGCCCCGCAAUACCAAACAACCACUUCAGAUAUCGGCAGGAGGACAGGCGCUCUAGAAACACUCAGGGUUGCGGCGUCGAUAAUAUUGUACGAUGAAGUGACAGAUACACUAUGUCAGCAGCCAUCGGCUACUCAGCCGACAACCCAGCCACAAUAUCUGCAGAACACUCCAGUUUAUCACCCGAUCAUGGAACCGCAAAUCCAACAGCACGUACCGAUUCCUCAGCCGGUCGUGCAUCAGCAGCAGGUUGAUUGGACCGCGAAGAUAGCAGAGGUAAUUCAAGAUCAGUUUGUGUUAAAAGCAAAAGUACAAACUUACAUGUACAAGACGCCAUACCCACUUGCCUACGAUCUGUUACCGUUCCCUCAUCGGUACAAAGUCCUUGACUUCACCAAGUUCUCGGGCCUAGACGACACGUUGACUGUCGAGCACGUUAAUAGGUUCAUCAUCCAGUGCAGGGAGGCUGCUACGCAAGAUGCUUUGAUGGUGCGCUUGUUCUCGUCAUCCCUAUCCGGAUCAGCCUUGCAGUGGUUCACUACACUGCCGCCCAACGCCAUCGUUACCUUGGCCGAUUUGGAAAAGCAAUUCCAUAAGUACUUCUAUGCGGGAAUCCACGAGAUGAAACUCUCAGACCUAACUAGCCUCAAGCAAAGAAGCGAUGAGUCGAUGGCCAGCUACAUACAGAGGUUUAGGAAAGUUAGGAACAAGUGCUACACCUUGGUCUGGACUGACACCCAACUAGCCGAUAUCACCUUCCAAGGACUCCUGCCACACAUCAAAGAGAAGUACGCCUCCCAGGAGUUCGAAAGCUUGAGCCAAAUCGUCCAUCGGCUGUCCGGCCAAGAGAUACACCCUUUCGACCAACGAAGGAACUUUCAAAAGAAGGUAGCUUAUGUGGAAGGGUCUGAAUCGGGAGAGAAGGCGGAAAUCGGCCUAGCAGAGUCGGUAAAAGGAAAAAAGCCGAUAUCAUGCCCGUUUGGAAAAAAGGAACCAGAAACAUUCGGCUUUGACACGUCAAAAGCCGACAAAGUCUUCGACUUGCUGCUUCAAGAGGGGCAGAUCAAACUUUCGCCUUACCACACCAUUCCGUCGGCCAAGCAGCUCAAAAAGAUGAAAUACUGCAAAUGGCACAAUACCACAUCCCAAGACAAAAAUGAGUGCAAGAUCUUCCGACAAUAGAUACAAUUAGCCAUUGAGCAAGGAAGACUCAAGUUCGAGGUUCCAGCAAAACCAGUGAAGCCGAUGAAGAUUGAUCAACAUCCCUUCCCCGCCAACAUGGUCAAUGUAGGAAGAAACGCACUCCAAACCAAAGUUUUGAUGUUAGAAUUGGCCAGGAGAAGCGGUGCAGUGGAUCCCAAAAAUCAGGCCACGAUCGGAGAUGUCAAAGGAAAAGGACGGAUGGAAGAAGAAGGUGAAGGAUCAGAAAGGCCACGUCGGCCUGUCACUUCCCAAGACUUACUCAGCAAGUAUCAGCAGCAGCGGGAAGAUUCAAGACGCCACGAAGAGAUGAUGCGCCGACACGAAGAUCACUGGAGGUGCCCGUUUUUCAUCCACUGCUGGGAGAAUAACCUUAGAUUACCGUCGGCUGAUAAUUGCCCUGAGUGCAACGGCCAGUAUCGCAGUGGUCGUCCGUUCAAUAGAUCACGCUCCAAGGAUCGAGGGCUAGAGCCAAUCAGCAGAAAGAGGCACGAGCAAGGAGAUCGGCGCGUUUCAGUGCGUGAUCGGCUGGGGGGUAGAGUUGACCAGCAUAAUCGGCUGGGGGGCAGAACCAGCGCACAUGAUCGGCUGGGGGGUAGAACCAGCGCACAUGAUCGGCUGGAAGAGAUAGCUGACGCCAAAGUCUCAGAUGAGAACCUCCUAGGGUGAGAAUCAGGCUGGGAGCGUGCAAAGCCGCCGAGUAAACCAGUAAACCCCAGAUGGUGCCCAGCCGGUUUGACUAAGUCCUUGAAACGGAGGGUCCAGCGUUUGCACCAAUGGGAGCAGCAAGAAGAAAAACAAAGGUAGGUGAUGGAUAACAAAGGGGACAGGUCUCGAGUAUGGCGUCCUAGAAGAAAAUCCGACGCAGGAGACUAAAAUCAUGAUUCGACAGCUGACUUCAGCAUGAUGUUCAUCUUGCCGAUGGAGUUCAUGCCUCCCGCCGACCGGGACAAUGCGAUAGAGAUAGAGGAGCAAAUGGCACAAUUGGCUCUGGAGCCAAUGACCGCCACUUUUGAGAAACCCGAGGAUUAAAAACGCCAACAUCUCAAGGCCCUGUUCCUCAAAGGACAUGUCAACGGACGACCAGUCACCAAGCUGUUGGUAGAUGGAGGCGCUGCUGUGAACAUCAUGCCCUAUGCUAUGUUCCGCAAAUUGGGCAAAGGUAAAGAAGAUCUAACAAAGACGGAUAUAAUGCUCAAGGAUUUCGAAGGCAACGUAUCUCCGGCCCGAGGGGCACUCUGCGUCGACCUCACCAUCGGGAGUAAGGCCCUACCCACUAUUUUCUUUGUUAUUAAUGGCAAAGGCUCCUACAACAUGUUGCUCGAGCGAGAUUGGAUCCACGCAAACUGCUGCAUCCUGUCUACGAUGCACCAAUGCCUUGUCCAAUGUGUCGGCGACAACAUCGAAGUAGUCAUCGCCGAUUCCACCUAUAGCGUUGCCACGGCCGACGCACAACAGUGGAGCUACGAUCACGUCAAAUUCAAAUAUGGUAGGGUUUGGGACACCAAUUUCCUAAAGGUGUCCGAUUUCGGUCUACAGCCAAUCCAAGCAGUCAGCUCUAAAGAAUCAAGUUAAAAUGGAUCAGUUCAUCUGAGAAGAUGGGAAGCUCGGGCACGGGUUUACGUCGGCCGAUUCAUUGGAGAUGGUGGACCUUGGAGAUGGCAACAAGCCAAAGCCGACGUAUAUUCGUGCUAGGUUAGAACCCGAGUAUAAGCAUGAAUUAAUGAGUCUUUUACGAGAAUUUAAAGAUUGCUUUGCUUGGGAGUAUCAUGAGAUGCCUGGUCUAGACCGGUCCAUCGUCGAACACCGGUUGCCUAUAAAACCAGGGCAUUGGCCGCAUCAGCAACCUGCACGACGUUGUAAUCCUAAAAUUUUACCUGAUAUAAAGGCCGAGAUUACAAGAUUAAUUGAAGCAGGGUUUAUUCGGCAAUGUCGCUAUGCCGAGUGGAUUUCCAAUAUUGUGCCCGUAUACAAGAAAAAUGGAAAGUUACGUGUGUGCAUUGACUUCAGGAAUGUUAAUCAGGCUAUGUCGAUGGAUGGAUAUCCGAUGCCGAUGGCUGAUGUUUUAAUAGACGCCACCGCAGGACACAAAGUCAUCACCUUCAUGGAUGGUAAUGCUGGGUACAAUCAGAUAUUAAUAGUCGAAUAAGAUAUUUCAAAGACGGCUUUCAGAUGCCCAGGCCACCUCGGUUUGUUCGAGUGGGUAGUAAUGAGUUUCGGUUUAAAAAAUGCUGGAGCUACGUACCAACGGGCUAUGAAUUAUAUAUUCCACAAGCUUAUUUGUGUCCUGGUGGAGAUCUACAUUGACGAUGUCGUGGUCAAAUCAAAAGGGUAUCAGGAACACCUGGCCGAUUUGCGAAAAGUGUUGGAAUGCACAAGAAAGCAUGGGUUGAAGAUGAAUCCAAACAAAGUGUGCCUUCGGCGUUUCGGCUGGACAGUUUCUGGGAUUCAUGAUUCACGAGCGAGGCAUCGAGAUCAAGCGAAAAAUUAUAGUUGCUAUCAACAAAGUCGUGGGCCCCCAGAAUAAGACUGAGCUACAGUACUUAAUCAGCAAGGUUAACUUCAUCCGACGGUUCAUAUCUAACUUGUUCGGGCGUAUUCAAGCUUUCACCCCUUUGUUGAAAUUAAAACCCGAUCAAGAAUUUGUAUAGGGUAAGGAAUAGCAGAAAACAUUAGAUGGCAUCAAACAAUACCUAGUCUCGCCACCAGUAUUGGUUCCGCCGCAGGCCAACAAGCCAUUCAAAUUAUACCUAUUGGCUGAUGAACGAGCUAUUGGGUUGGCGCUGGUCCAGGAAUGUGAAGGAAAAUAAAGAGUAAUCUAUUAUGUCAACAGAAGACUCCUGAACGUUGAAACUAGAUAUCCUCCGGUGGAACGGCUGUGCCUUUGUCUAUAUUUUUCAUGCACCAAACUCAGGCACUAUCUGUUAUCGGCAGAGUGCAUAGUCGUUUGCAAAGAUGAUGUGGUCAAGUACAUGUUGUCAUUGCCGAUUUUGAAAGGGAGGAUUGGAAAGUGGAUUCUAGCUCUCUCAGAGUUCGACCUGAGGUACGAAUCGGCCAAAGCUGUCAAGGGGCAAGUAAUGGCCGAUUUCGUGAUCCAGCACUGUGGACCAGAAAUUACUGUCGAACCAGCUCCGUGGACACUAUACUUUGAUGGGUCUGCGUGUGGGGCCGGAUCGGGAAUCGGCAUCAUCCUCAUAUCGUCUCGAGGGGCAAGUUAUGAUUUCUCUCUGCCGUUUGAGGCGUCCGCUACUAAUAAUCAAGCGGAGUAUCGGGUUGUUCUAAAAGGUAUCCAAUUAUUAAGAGAGGUCAAAGCUGACGUGAUGGAAAUUUUUGAGGAUUCCAUGCUCAUUGUAGAUCAAUUAACUGGAAAGUCUGAAUGCAAGGAUGAUAUCUUGAGGAUUUACUACGAAGAUUGCCUCAAGUUAUUGAAGGAGUUCAAGUCUUUGAUUAUUGAGCAUAUUCCCAGGAAUUACAACGAAGAAGCCAAUAGACUUGCCCAACAUCCUUCCGGGUAUCGGCUGUGUUGACGCCAGAUUUUGACACGAGUAAAAUCGGCGUUAGAAGUGGAAGAAAUUAGGAGAUGCGGCGAGAUACAAGGGCAACGAUUGGAAAUCGGCCGAUUGGUGCUACAGUCAAGGAUCGGUUGGUUGGUGCUGCAGUCAAGGAUCGGCCAAUAGAUGCUACAGACGAGGAUCGGCCGAUUGAUCCUUAGAGUUCCGCCUCGCACGACCCCUGGUUUGGGAUCGGACACGCCCGACCCUCCAAGGGAGGAUCUCCGCCUCGCCCGACCCCUGGUUUGGGAUCGGACGCGCCCGACCCUCCAAGGGAGGAUCUCCGCCUCGCCCGACCCCUGAGGUUUGGGAUCGAACGCGCCCGACCCUCCAAAGGAGGAUCUCCGCCUCGUCCGACCUUAGUUCCCAGGGUCGAAAUGAGUCUGAGCCCUCGAUAUGUGGGUCCUGAUCGGUUACCCCCCUUGCCAAAGAGGUGAUCGGCCGAUUAGGAGGUUGGAAUAGUUGGGCCGAUGUGGGCUCAAGAAGGAUUAUGAAGAUGAAGAGGGGGUCAGCCCAUGAAGCGCGUGAAAAUAGUACGAAUCGUACUUGUAAAUAUUCGUUUUCUGUUUAAAUUUAGGGAUAGAGUUCUAGUCGGAUAAGAAGUCGUUUGUACGGGGCUAUAAAUAGCCACCGUUGUAGAUCUGUAAUCAUCAUCAACUCAAUACAACAAACUACUAUUUCCUCGUACUUACUUUCAAGCAGGCGACUUUACCAACACUUUUUCUCCUUUUUCACGAGUUCGUACGGGUUGGCGGGGCUGCAUCAACUUGACCUCCGGCCGAUCUUGUAAGUUCCGUUUAUCGACUAAAUUCUAAGCUUUAACUUCGGGCGCAUCGCUGUCAUUUCGUUUAGAUUUAUUCAUCAGUUAUCGAUAUUUACUAGAAUUCUAGGUUUUACCUGUUGUUCUAGUUUUAUCACCAAUUAUCCAGCUAGGAAUCGGUAAAUUCGGCUUUCUUUAUACUUCUCUGUCUAAUCUAUUUAUUUUAGCCGAUUAGAUCUGUUCCUAGUGUUGCUACUGUAGCGUUGUUUAGAUUACUCUAGCAGUUUUCUUUAUAAACGUUACCUGGUAAUCGGUUGCACUAUAGCCGAUUUCCUUAUUACGGCAAAUCGGCCGAUUCGCUGAUAAGCUUUCUUGAGAUCGGAACCUUAGCUGAUCGCAACCUCUGGGAACUGACACGUUUAUUUCCUUGCCAAUCAACAGUUCAGAUUGGCUGGCUCGCCGCGCGAACCGUACCAGGGCAAUCACCCGAACAGGAGUUAAGCAGAUUCUCCCGGGUCGUGUGUCCGACGCUGGGAAUUCGGUCAGCUGAUUUCUAGUGCCAACACACUUUUGGCACGCCUAGUGGGGCCAAUACAACCGCCACCAUGUCGAAAGCUGCUGAAGUCUCCGAAGAUAACAUCAUCGAAGUGACAGAGGCAGAUCUCAGGGACGACCAGAAGGAAGAACUAGAGAGGCAGACAGCAUACUACCGGAAGACAUGUCUGCAGUCCUUCAGUCGCACCAGGAGCGAGGAGACUAUCAAAAAGGCUCCGUUUCCAACUCCCCGCCAGAUCACAAUCACCGAGGAUUCGGACAAGAUGUCCGAGAUGGUCCAGCAAUCCGUCUAUCAAGCUUUCAUUGAUCAAUCCCCGGUGCUUUCUAAUACGGUAUACAAUGCCGUCAUCAGCUCCUUGGCUAGUGGUGUAUCUCAAGGGUACCAGGGGCCGGCAUAUGUUCCGCUGAUUAUGGCUCCGAGCAAUGCGGCGACAUGAAGAUCACUGGCGAUGCCCGUUCUUCAUCCACUGUUGGGAAAGCAACCUUAGGUUGCCUUCGGCCGAUAAUUGCCCCGAGUGCAACGGCCCGUAUCGUAACAAUCGGCCGUUCAGCAGGUCUCGCUCCAGAGAUGGGAGAUCAGAGCCGAUCAGCAGGAACUGGCGCGACCAAGACAACCGGCGCCCUCCAGUACGUGAUCGGCUGGGGGGCAGAAGUGACCGGUAUGACCGGUCGGAAGGCAGGCGCAAUGAUGGGCCGGGGGCAGAUUUAAUCGACGUGACCGGCCAGAAAAUAGAGUCAGCGUCCACAGACGACUUGAAUAGAUGGCCGAUGCUCGGGUGUUAGAUGAGAACCCUUUAGGACGCGAACUAGAAUGGGAACGCGCCAGGCCACGAACCAAACCGGUGAACCCCAGGUGGUGCCCCGAUGGAUUGACCAAGUCUCAAAAACGAAGAAUCCAACGUCUCCGCCAGUGGGAACAGCAGGAAGAAGAGCAACAGUACACGACGGACGAGAAGAAAGGCAGGUCUUAGGUAUGGCGCCCCAAAAGAAACGACAGAGGAGGCGACAAAUCAGCAGGCGAUGAAUCGGCAGCCGAUAUCGACAUGGUCUUCAUACUGCCGAUGGAAUUCAUGACUCCUGCCGACCAACAGGACAUGUCAGCAAUAGAAGAGUAGAUGGCGCAAUUGGCUUUGGAGCCAAUGACAGCCACAUUCGAGAAGCCCGAAGAAGACAAACGGCAACACCUGAAAGCGUUGUUUCUUAAAGGGCAUGUCAACGGCCGACCCAUCACCAGAUUACUGGUAGACAGAGGGGCUGCAGUCAACAUCAUGCCGUACGCCAUGUUCCGGAAGCUAGGGAAGAGCAAUGAUGACCUGACCAAGACAGACAUGAUGCUCAAGGACUUCGAGGGCAACGUAUCCCCCGCUCACGGCGCUCUCUGCGUCGACCUCACCAUCGGCAGUAAGACCCUUCCUACUACUUUCUUUAUUAUUAAUGGCAAGGGGUCCUACAACAUGCUACUCGGCCGAGACUGGAUACAUGCAAAUUGCUGUAUCCCAUCUACAAUGCAUCAAUGCCUCGUAUAGUGGGUCGGCGACAACAUUGAGGUGGUCACCGCCGAUUCCGCAUACAGCAUCGCGGCAGCCGACACGCAACAGUGGAGCUGCGAAACCGUCAAGUGCAUAUCCGGGAGAGUAUGGGAUACUGACUUCUUGAAGGUGUCCGAUUUUGGCCUACAGCCGAUCCGAGCAGUCGGCUCUGAGGACUCAGAUUAAAUGGAUCAGUUCACCCGAGAAGAUGGGAAGCUGGGACAUGGGUUCACGUCGGCCGAUUCAUUAGAAAUGAUAGACUUAGGCGAUGGCACCAUACCAAGGCCGACAUAUAUUAGUGCAAAUUUAGAUCCGGAAUACAAAUGUAAACUGACAAGUUUGUUAAGAGAACUUAAGGAUUGCUUUGCUUGGGAAUAUCAUGAGAUGCCCGGAUUAGACCGAUCUAUCGUUGAACAUCGGUUACCCAUAAAGCCAGGGUAUCGGCCGUAUCAACAGCCUGCACGGCGGUGCAAUCCUAAAAUCCUACCGGACAUAAAGGCCAAAAUAACGCGGCUAAUCAAAGCAAAAUUUAUUCGGCAAUGCCGUUAUGCCGAAUGGAUCUCCAACAUUGUACCAGUAUAUAAGAAGAACGGAAAGUUACGCGUAUGCGUCGAUUUCAGGAACCUCAAUCAGGCCACACCAAUGGACGGAUACCCCAUGCCGACGGCUGAUGUACUGAUAGAUGCCGCCGCGGGACACAAGGUUAUUAGUUUCAUGGAUGGAAACGCUGGGUACAAUCAGAUACUUAUGGCCGAAGAAGACAUAUCUAAAACGGCCUUCAGAUGCCCGGGUCACCUUGGUUUAUUCGAGUGGGUGGUAAUGACUUUCGGCUUGAAAAAUGUCGGCGCUACGUAUCAGAGAGUCAUGAACUACAUAUUCCACAAACUUAUCGGCAUACUAGUAGAAAUCUACAUCGACGACGUCGUAGUCAAGUCAAAAGGACACCAGGAGCAUCUGGCCGAUUUACGACAGGUGUUGGAAUGCACUAAGAAACAUGGGCUGAAGAUGAACCCGAAUAAGUGUGCCUUCGGCGUAUCCGCCGGACAAUUCUUAGGAUUCAUGGUGCACGAGCGGGGAAUAGAAAUCAAUCAGAAGACUAUAGCGGCCAUCAACAAAAUUGUGGCCCCGCAGAAUAAAACUGAGCUGCAAUCUCUAAUCGACAAGAUGAAUUUCAUCAGGAGGUUCAUAUCUAAUUUGUCUGGGCGAAUCCAAGCCUUCACACCAUUAUUAAAGUUGAAGCCCGACCAGGAGUUCGUAUGGGGGGAAGAGCAACGCAAGGCAUUGGAAGAUAUCAAGCAGUACUUGGUCUCACCACCGGUAUUGGUCCCUCCUCAAACUGGUAAGCCGUUUAAACUAUAUUUAUCAGCCGAUGAACGAGCUAUUGGGUCGGCUCUGGUCCAGGAGUUCGAGGGAAAGGAACGAGUAAUUUAUUAUGUCAGUAGAAGACUUCUGGACGCCGAAACAAGGUAUCCUCCAGUGGAGCGGUUGUGCCUAUGCCUUUACUUCUCAUGUACCAAACUCAGGCACUAUUUGCUAUCAGCGGAAUGUGUGGUCGUAUGCAAGGACGACGUGGUAAAAUACAUGCUGUCACUGCCGAUUUUGAAAGGAUGGAUCGAAAAAUGGAUCUUGGCUUUGUCGGAGUUUGACCUUCGAUAUGAAUCGGCAAAAGCCGUUAAGGGUCAGGUCAUGGCCGAUUUCGUUGCCCAGCACUGCGGGCCAGAGGCUACCUUCGUAGAACCAGUACCUUGGACCUUAUACUUUGAUGGAUCGUCAUGUGGGGCCGGAUCAGGAAUCGGCAUCGUCCUCAUAUCGCCUCGGGGGGCAAGCUAUGAUUUCUCUCUACCGAUAGAAGCAUCCACCACUAACAAUCAAGCAGAGUACUGAGCUGUACUGAAGGGAUUACAAUUGCUAAGGGAAGUCAAAGCUGAUUCCGUCGAAAUUUUUGGGGAUUCCAUGCUUAUCGUGGAUCAGUUAACAGGGAAAUCCGAGUGCAAGGACGAUGUAUUGAGGAUUUAUUACGAAGAUUGCCUCCUGCUUCUGAAAGAAUUCAAGUCGGCAGUUAUCGAGCACAUCCCAAGGAAUCACAACGAGGAUGCCAACAAGCUCGCCCAACACGCAUCUGGGUAUCGGCCGAUUCAAGGCGCCUUGGCUCUAGAGCUCGCGGCCAAUGACUGGCGAAAGGAGAUUGCCGAUUACCUGAAAGAUCCGUCUAAGAAAGUGGAUCGGCGGGUAUGUUUUCAUGCUACCAAAUAUGUGCUACUGGAAGACGACUUGUUCUACCGAACAAUUGAUGGCGUCCUACUCAAGUGUCUAGGAACGGAGGAGGCUAAGACUCUGAUGGGAGAAAUCCAUGAAGGAGUGUGUGGAGCCCACCAAUCGGCACAUAAGAUGAAAUGGAUGAUUAGGAAUAAUGGGUAUUACUGGCCGACGAUCCUCGAAGAUUGCUUCAAAUAUUAUAAAGGAUGUCAGGAUUGUCAGAAAUUCGGGAAUGUCCAACGUGCGCCCGCAUCGGCCAUGAAUCCCAUUAUCAAACCAUGGCCGUUCAGAGGUUGGGGGAUAGACCUCAUCGGCCAAAUUUAUCCUCCGUCAAGCAAAGGGCACAAGUUCAUUCUGGUGGCCACUGAUUAUUUCACCAAGUGGGUGGAGGCAAUUCCGUUAAGGGCCGUGACAUCGGCUGCUAUGGUUGACUUCGUAAGAGACCAUAUCGUCUACCGUUUCGGCAUCCCCCAGACUAUCACGACCGAUCAAGGGACAAUGUUUACAUCAGGAGAAUUCGAGGAGUUCACAGCCGACAUGGGAAUCAAAUUAUUAAACUCCUCUCCGUAUUAUGCCCAAGCUAAUGGCCAGGUCGAAUCUUCCAACAAGGGGAUAAUUAAGUUAAUCAAGAGGAAGAUAGAGGAGCAGCCGAAAAAGUGGCAUCUAUGUCUGACUGAAGCUCUAUGGGCAUACAGGAUGGCUUGCCAUGGGGCCACUAAGAUGUCCCCUUAUCAGUUGGUGUACGGUCACGAGGCAGUACUACCAUGGGAGUUGAGGGCAGGAUCGAGACGCACUUCGCUCCAGGACCAGUUAGCGGCCGACGACUACUCCUCACUCAUGAAAAGGGAACUUGAUGACUUGGCUGGCCAACGAUUGAGAGCUUUGAUAAGCAUCAAAGAAAACAAGAAGAAAGUGGCCAGGUGGUAUGAUAAGAAAGUCAAAGUCAAACAAUUCUCUCCGGGGGACCUGGUAUGGAAGUUAGUGUUGCCGAUCGGGUCGAAAGAUCCUAAAUUCGGUAAGUGGUCCCCUACGUGGGAAGAGCCGUAUAAAAUCGGCAGAUGUGCUCCAGGAAACGCUUAUAUUCUGGAAACAAUCGAAGGAGAGAAGAGUUUACUAGGGCUUUGAACGGAAGAUACUUGAAAAGGUACUACCCUAGUAUAUGGGUCGGAGCAUAAGGAUCGACCAUGAUGAACAACACACAGCCAAUACAAAAGGAUUCGUCUAGAGAAAAAAACGUAAUCGUCCAAAUCGGCCGAUGUAUUUCAUUCGGUACGGACGGUGGGUUACACGGCCGACAAGGUACAAGUUGCCCUUAGAACAAAAAAAAAUUAAUCACGCUUUUUCUUAAGCUCUCUCUCAGCCCGACCUAGUUCUAUCAGAAGACGGAUGUACUCUUCUUUUAUCUCUUUCAUCGAAGCCUCCGCUUCGACUUGACGGGGGAGAGGGUGACUCCGGUCCAUGGCCGGGCGUGAUGUUCCUACUGCUGCAUCUUCAAGGACGAUUUGAUGAGGAAGCGGAUGACUUCUGUCGGCUUGAGGUCGCCGGUGGUCGUUGCUGUCCAGAAAGUCCCAGAUCCAUCGGAUGUCGGCAGGGACGUGCUCUUGGAGUUCGUCGCGAUGAGCUCUGAUUAAAUCCUUAUCUUCUUGCGACAACGGUUCAUCGGAGUGUACAAGUCCGAUGGCUCGUUCGAGUUCGGGGCUAAGGCGCCGUGGCUGCGGAAAGCAACAAUAUACAUAUAGCUGCCGAAAAGGUGAUUCCCUUCAGAAGAGCUAAACUAAGAAAGAGAAUGAAGGCAAAUCUUUUACCUGAUUAACGGAGGAAGAGGUAGAGGAUGGAGAAGACAUGACUGAAAGGCGCACCGACGUGAACAGGUCGAGGAAGAUGAAGCCGAGUUAGAAAGGUACUCUCGGAACGGUCACCUAGGCCGGUGUUUAUAGGAAAGGAAGGCAUGGAUGUUUGGUAAGACGCGUCCCAUCGGGAGUGUGAAAGGUAAUAAAUAAGGGGGCGUCGCGAAGGACGGUCAAAGGGAUCAUUAAAUGUUCGUACAAGAACUGCCAGCACUUUUACAGGUCACCCAGAAGGGCAUCGAUAGCUGCGAUCGCUCGACGCCGGAUCUGAUCGGCAGAGUCCAGGACCCGUUGGUCAUCCUCUGCCGAUCCGGGGACUUCUAACAUAUGGCGGUGGAGUUUGAGGGCCUCGUGAGCCAGAUGCUGCCUCUCUCGUUUCAGAUCGGCAAUGACAGAAGGGAGUUCCUGAAGCCUCUUCUCUUCGGCGUCUAUUGCUUUGGUCACCUGCUCCAUCUCCUUGGCAAGCUCUGCCCUUCGGCGUUUGAGGCGAUCUAUCGUGCCGACGAUCCCCGGGCGAGAGUCUUCCAGAAAGUGAAUCCGUUGAUGCACCUCUUGAGCUUGACGCUUGUACGUGUCUUCUUCUUCACGAGUUUUGGUCAACUUGACGCGAUCGGCCAUGUGGCGCAGGGCCCUAAAGACUGGAAUCCUCAUUGACUCGAUAUAUGCAGCUGGCGCCAAGGCCUCUUCCGCUUCUUCUGGUACUCGCCCGCUGACGUCACCAAAAAGUUGUUGAAUCAGCGAAGCGUCUUCUACCAAUCGGCCGAUGUCCUCUUGAAGAAGGGAUCGGAUGCUUGCGAGUUUGGCACGGACGUCAUCAGGAACGGAGCUCAAAGUGACCUGGCGAGAGGCGACUUCCUCAUCAUCGGAGAGUGCGACCGCAAACGAGAAAAGGCUGUUGUUGGGGGUGUCCUGUUCCUGAAAAAUAGUGAGUCAAGAAGAAGAACAAAUCAGCCGAUGAUGAUAGCAAAUCGGCUGAGUAAGGGUGAGAAAUCUCUUACCUCCUUGAAACGGAUUUCUUCAAACUGCGUUUGGGAGGCUGUUAUCCUCGAUUCAGGGGCUGGUACCAUUGGUUCGUCAGAAGCUGAAGACUCCACCAUGAUUGGUGCUUUGCUCGGGCCAGCUUCCCGAAAGAUGACCAUUGGUUGGUUAGGUGGGGCGCUAAGCGUACCGGUGACCUGUGUCAAAAGAUUGAAUAAGAAUAUUAUCCAAAUACUAGAAAAAUCGGUUGAAGAGUAGUAUACCUCGGCAGACGGAAGCGUGGGCGUGUUGAUGACCGAUUGGGUUGCUGCCGAUUGUUGUGAGUCCACAGAAGUGAUUUGUGUAGUCUAAAAUAAGAUGAGUCAGUAUAGAGAUGGCAAUCGGUAGGAUCAAACAACAAGUUUACCUGCAUGGCCUCCACCAGUAAUGAUGCAGCGGCCGCCCCAGCUUGCGUGACGACUUGAGUAUCUACUUCUCCAGCAGCUGGAAGGGGCAAUGUGGCCGAAGUUUCUGCCGAUGUGAUCGUAGGAGGGUCGGCCGGUUCUGUACGAGCUCGCACUCGGCGACUGGUCUUCUUGGUAACCUUCUUCUGCGCCUGCUUCGAUCGGCCGGCAAUCACAUCCACGGAAGGGGCAUCGUAGCCGAUAAGGGGGAAGAUGGUGUAUAGGUGAUGGUCCUCUAUCGGCCGGCCACUCCGACUGUGUGUUGGGGGAACGCAGUUUUCAGACUGAAGCAACAGCAAGAUGUUAGUGUACAUAUUUAACCGCAUUAAUAAAGGAAUGAAAAUCAGUUAGGGAAAAAAAAUACCUCGGUGUUCGGAUCGAUGUUGGCUGGAUCCAGGAGGUUGCAGUAUGUCGAUGCGGAGGCACAGAAUAGGUACUGUUUUCAUUCGGCCCACCAUAGCUUGAAUGGUUGGACAACAAAGGGGGCUACUAUCCAGUCAUUCAAGUCUAUGGUACUGGAGUCUGGUAUCCGGUCUCGCAGCCGACUAUAGUCAAGACCCUUGGUGAGCUCAUCUCUGAACUUUGCUCGGCCGACGAAGUAUGCCUGAAUCGGCAGUUGACCCAUGCCGAAUUGCCGAGCUGCAACGGAGGGAUUGUAGAAUUCAUAUGUAGGGGCAUCCUUUCCUGAGAAGAAGUUGGCCGGUAAGAUCCCCGGUUUAAUUAGUUCAUCUGUGAGAUCUUCGUCGAAUCAGCCGGUGGUUGAGUCGAAGCAAGAAGGGAGUUCAAAGAUUGGGUCAUCUCUCCAAUAAGGAAACCAGACGGUUGCAUCUUCAUUGAAGCCGUUAUAAAAACACUGGAAGUAUUCGGCCACCUUGGUAGCAGAGUACGAGCAACCAGAGAAGGCCGAUGCCGCUUCGCCGAAAGACAUACACCGGCGUCGGACAGUGAGAUUCUCUGCCGAUUCGACGCUGGGGAAUGUCAUGUGUUCCACUCGCUGCUGAGAGAUCUCGCUCAUGUACAAGUUCAGCCAUAAGUUAAUGAACCACCAGGGUCCACCUGGGUUUCCAAUUGGCUACCCUUGGGAUAGCUUGAUGCCGAUUUGGUGAAGCAUGUGGUAGGCUGCUCCCAGUAAGUGCUUUCCAAGAGGAACAGAAGUCCCUAUUGAUAAUGCUUCGGCCAGAGCUUGGGUAUUGGUAGAUGGACCAGCUGCUCUCCCACAGAAGAAGUGCUUCUCUAGCCACAUCAUCAGGAAGGCCGUGUGCUCUCUGUUGUCGACAGAUCCGGCCCUUUUGUUGCAUCUGAUGAAACCUUUCCACCUGCCGAUUCCCCUUGUGUCCAGCCGAUGUGAUGUUGCGGUUAUAAGGCGGAAAGGGGUGUCCGGGGAAGAAAUAUCCAGGCCGGUCAGGAAGACUACAUCGGCCAAUGUGGGGGUCAUGGGUCCGUGUCCAAACAGGAAUGCGUUGAGAGCAUUGGACCAGAAGUAAGAAGCUGCCACCACUAAUGGCUCAUUCCGUUCCAUUUGGGACAAAGAUAGAUCGAUGCAUUGGCCAAUUUUGAGCUCGUCCCAUUGGACCUUCUUGGAAGCGGUUAUCCGCUGGUACCAUUCCCUCCAACUGGGAGUUUCGUUCGGCCAAGACCUAAAGGUACUCAACCAGUGAUCUAGGUCCAUAGUUGAUUGUUUGAAGGGGAUCCUAUGGGUUUUCCAAAUUGAUUAAGUCGGUUGGAUCUGGAUUUCCCAUGGGUCCAAGACAGAUAAGGCCGAGGUUUUCUGUGAGACGAAUGGUGAUGCGAUGCCUAACCGCCUAAAAAGGAAAAGGGGGUGCGAGGGUAAGAAAUAGAUCUAAAGUACAUGCAUUACUAAUAAGGGAAAGUUUCGGUAAUGACCUCCGGGAUGAAGCUCCUCGUAAUCGGCGGAGUCGCCGGUGCAGCUGCAGACGAUGAAGCUGCCAAUGGGAUCUCGGAUGAAGCUUCAACUUUCGCCAAUGGAGCUCCUUCUUCCGUCGAUGGAGCCGUCGUUAUCGCUACUGGAACCUCCGCCGAAGGCACCAUUUCUGGAGCUUCGCGCAUUGGUGAGGUGCCUGAAGGUGCCGCCAUUGGAAAAGUAGGAGGCAAUGCGAAAGGAAGGAGGCGCUGGAGAAUUGGUGGACUAAGGAAAGUGUUGGAGGAAGAAGAAAGCCUGUGCACUGAAGAAGAUGGACAUGAGCUCGUAAGGAGUACGGGAUGUGCUGAUAUUUAAAGAACGUCUGAGAAGGGGUAAAAGUGGAAUUUUUACCGCGCUGGCGUUUUGAGUUUUUCGGGAGUAGUGGUUGUCGUGGGCACCCGUUUCGAAAAGAUUGCAAUCAUCAGGUUGGAGACCGCGAAAUGGAAGGAUGUUUUCAUUGCGUCUGUUUCGGAUGAGAAGUUGAAAAGAAUUUUGAAGUAAAGACUAUGUUUUACUCCGAAACUGGGAGGCAUGUGUUGACGCCAGAUUUUGACACGAGUAAAAUCGGCGUUAGAAAUGGAAUAAAUUAGGAGAUGCGGCGAGAUACAAGGGCGACGAUUGGAAAUCGGCCGAUUGGUGCUACAGUCAAGGAUCGGUUGGUUGGUGCUGCAGUCAAGGAUCGGCCAAUUGAUGCUACAGAUGAGGAUCGACCGAUUGAUCCUUGGAGUUCCGCCUCGCCCAACCCCUGGUUUGGGAUCGGACGCGCCCGACCCUCCAAGGGAGGAUCUCCGCCUCGCCCGACCCCUGGUUUGGGAUCGGACGCGCCCGACCCUCCAAGGGAGGAUCUCCGCCUCGCCCGACCCCUGAGGUUUGGGAUCGGACGCGCCCGACCCUCCAAAGGAGGAUCUCCGCCUCGUCCGACCUUAGUUCCCAGGGUCGAAAUGAGUCUGAGCCCUCGAUAUGUGGGUCCUGAUCGGUUACCCCCUUGCCAAAGAGGUGAUCGGCCGAUUAGGAGGUUGGAAUAGUUGGGCCGAUGUGGGCUCAAGAAGGAUUAUGAAGAUGAAGAGGGGGUCAGCCCAUGAAGCGCGUGAAAAUAGUACGAAUCGUACUUGUAAAUAUUCGUUUUCUGUUUAAAUUUAGGGAUAGAGUUCUAGUCGGAUAAGAAGUCGUUCGUACGGGGCUAUAAAUAGCCACCGUUGUAGAUCUGUAAUCAUCAUCAACUCAAUACAACAAACUACUAUUUCCUCGUACUUACUUUCAAGCAGGCGACUUUACCAACACUUUUUCUCCUUUUUCACGAGUUCAUACGGGUUGGCGGGGCUGCAUCAACUUGACCUCCGGCCGAUCUUGUAAGUUCCGUUUAUCGACUAAAUUCUAAGCUUUAACUUCGGGCGCAUCGCUGUCGUUUCGUUUAGAUUUAUUCAUCAGUUAUCGAUAUUUACUAGAAUUCUAGGUUUUACCUGUUGUUCUAGUUUUAUCACCAAUUAUCCAGCUAGGAAUCGGUAAAUUCGGCUUUCUUUAUACUUCUCUGUCUAAUCUAUUUAUUUUAGCCGAUUAGAUCUGUUCCUAGUGUUGCUACUGUAGCGUUGUUUAGAUUACUCUAGCAGUUUUCUUUAUAAACGUUACCUGGUAAUCGGUUGCACUAUAGCCGAUUUCCUUAUUACGGCAAAUCGGCCGAUUCGCUGAUAAGCUUUCUUGAGACCGGAACCUUAGCCGAUCGCAACCUCUGGGAACUGACAUGUUUAUUUCCUUGCCAAUCAACAGGUCAGAUUGGCUGGCACGCCGCGCGAACCGCACCAGGGCAAUCACCCGAACAGGAGUUAAGCAGAUUCUCCCGGGUCGUGUGUCCGACGCUGGAAAUUCGGUCAGCUGAUUUCUAGCGCCAACAGGCUCAUUUAUGUCGCCUGACACGCGAAUAUGCACUUUAACCAAGUCAACCUGGUCGACCGUCGGAUUUCAUCCGAUGAACCACUUACACAGGAUCAAGAAGCAUCGCUCAAACGAAGGUGAGUAGCACAGAGGUUACAACAUUCCAUUAUGACAACUUAGUUCCACAAUUUAUUACAUCAGAGUUUCAGAAAUUCAAACAAGUUGCAAGGUUCGAAAAGUCGGAUAAAACAAGCGAAAACUAAACGUCGAUACAGGAUAUCAUGACGAAGUUGAUCAUGACAUCAAAAAUCCCUACCCUCACCGUCCGAGGAGGGAUCCCACUCGAUUGUCCAGCCCGGAGGGAGCUGGGUAGGCCAAGUGGUGCCAGCAACCAAACUAUUGACAUGACCUGAAAAGAUUAAGCCAUAACAAGGCUGAGCAACUAAUACUCAGCAAGACUGACCCGUCGAGUGAAAAGCUUUACCAAGACCUAGACAUGCAAGGCUUUCUGGCUCUGGGAUUACUUUGCCAAAAGCAUCUACAGUCGGUCCUUACUUUCAAUAUUUUAGCUUAAGUUCUACGUUCUUUAACCAGUCUAGAUUAGCAACUUAUACUAAACAAGCAUAAUUUCCAAGUAGUUAAAUAACAAGCAUCAACUUAAUCUCAUAAUCAUGUUUCAUCGUUACUCAGUGCAGAAUAGCGAUCAAGUAGUCCCAAACUGUGAGAGACAGAUGAAUCGAUUCGAAUUUAUUAACCAUGCAUGGCGAACCUAAUCUCACGACAUCCGCGCACCACGAAGGGUCGCUUCAUUUGUCAGCCGUCCCCAUCGAUCCCUUAGGCACGUGUCAGGGCCAAACUGCCUUUGGCGUGCAAUGCUCCACAGUCCCGACCUCUGUCGUACUGUGACCGCCACUGCACCCACAUGAUGCACCAUGGGAACGACGUUCCAAGGACAGCAGGAGUAUAAGCCACGUCCCAGUUCAGUCAGGUACUAGGCUUCCCCAUCCCAGACUAGGUAUGAGAUUAGUACUUUCAAACACUUGAUCACGAACGCUGACACGUUUCAACCUUAGAUCAAUUUCCUUUAGACAGACGGGGAAAACCACCAAGUAUCGAACAUAAGCCCGACCCCGUCCGUCAUCCUUAUAGUUGCAACAUAAAUAAACAUUCAACUCCUAUAACUCGCGAGUGAUAGGAAAUCACUCGACUUUUACUGAAACCUAAUAAGCAUUGCAACUACUCGACUUUAGCAACUAGUAUUCAAACAAGGUACUAAGUUCAUGCAUCUACGGUUUCAAUCAACUCCUACACACGUAAAUGCGCAAACAUAAACAUCAACAUGUUGCAUAAAGUAAAACAGGGAAGUCAUGCACCGGGGCUUGCCGUCAGGAAGAGUUAGCGGGUCCUCGGGGUCUUGAUCCGGCUCAGGCUCGCCUUCCAAGUGGUGAAGCUCCGCAGCGGGGUCUUCCUCCGGUGUCGGGUGGAGCUCGUAGGUUCCAUCGGCGAGAUUUGCUUCUAUACGACAUGCAUAUGCAAAAGUUUAGUUGGACUCACGCGUUUAUUCAACGACACAAGGCUUGGCUUAAGACAAGGAGUUGCAACAGCCACAUUCACUUUGACGAGGUUCAACUUUCAUGCAACUUCAAACGAAUGUGGUCGGUUUAAACUUGAGUUCGAGUUGAAUGGCGAUUGUGUACAUAUAUAGUUUUCUUACACUUAGAGUUGCAUAAAGAGAAUGAAAGGUCGUGUUUGGGUGGUUUGGGUGCAUUAGGAUAGUUACUUACUUCUGAAUGUUUUUAUGUACCUCUUUCAAUUUCCACUUAUUUAUCGUAUUAGAAUUUGUGCUUUCCUUUUAUUCCUUUAGGUUGAUUAAUUAACCAAAAUGACUUCAUAUCCAAACAGCAGCUAAAGGCACUGAUAAAAUUACAACACCUCACUUAAGCCAUAGCUGGGUUACUCUAAAAUUUUGGGGGCCAUUGGAUGACUUAAAAAGGAAUUACAUGCAUUUUAUUAUUAAAGGUAAAAUGAGCUUAACUUUUUCUAUCUUCAAAGUUACUAUGCAACAGAGGGUGAAACUUAACCAGUGUGUUAAGGGUAUGUUACAGGAUCUUUGGCGAAUUUUUCAUAAUUUUUGAAGAAGGUUAACUAUUUACUCUAUUUCCUUUUUAAUUAAACAUGCUUAGCAAGGAAGGUGUUUUUUCUUUCCGAAUUGCACAACAAUUUACAUUUUUCCUGCAAACUUCACAGCAAAACAAAAUUAACCCAACUAGUUUCACAUUUUUUUGAGCUCUGGAUCAAAACGUAUGCAAAAAGGAAGAAUUAAUCUUAGAUUCCCAAAUUAAAGUCAAAACAAUGACUUAAAGUGCUAGACCAGAGCCCUAACCAUUUUUCUGAGCUUCUACACAUAGAAACAAGCAUCACAGAGUUGGUUUUACAUUUUUCCCACUUUUCUUCUAUUUAAUAGGAUUAAAAAGGCCUAAACCAUGAUUAAAAGCAUAUGAUAUUAUUUACAACAGUAACAUGAGCAAACUUAUUUUUCUUAGGAACUAGAUAGAGCAAGGAUUCCAACAAAAGUGGUUUGGUAUUUUUAUGAUUUUUCUACGAUUUACUGGGCAUUUACAAAGUUCAACCAUAUUUCUACCUAUUAUUUAAAAGAAAAGCCGUGGCAAACUUGCAGGUUAGCCCCUGGGUCUAUGGGUUAACUACGCAGAGGUCCCUGAGUUUUGCGCCCAGGCCCCUGGAAAGAAUGGGGAUGAUGCAAUGUAGUCCCCAGGGCGCGCGCGGCGGCGGCGAGGAAAUCCCCGGCGGUUCGUCGGCGGGGAUGGGGCAACAAGUGGUCGGAGGGGUGCGGGGGCUCACCUGAGCUCGGUUUGGUGGGGUUGGGGCGACGGAGAUGGUCGGUAGGGAUCAAAACACGGCGGCGGCGACAGAGCUUGGCUGGUGGCGGUGCAGGCGUCGUUCCGGCGCACUGGCGGCGUCGGGGAGGCCACGGGCUGCUCGGAGACGUGCGCGGAGGGGGGGCGAAGUGGGCGGCGAAGUUGCCGGAGUACGGGGUGGCGCGGAGGGGUGAGCUCCACGGGAGCUUAGCGGCGGCGCUGAGAAGGAAGCAGAGGCGUGGUUGCGAGCGGUGGCAAAGGGUGGCAUUGCCGGUGAGGGGGACCCUUUUAUAGGGCAGCGGUGGAGCGGAGGGUCGAGGUGGGGCUCCGGUGGAGGAAGGAUAAGGCCGGGAGCGGUGCGUGCGCGAGCGAGGCGGCCAUUGGCCAGCGGUGCCAUUGGGCAGGGGAGGCGGAGCUCCGGGUGGUCUCUGGCCGCGAUUGGCCUCGAGCGAUGCGUGUCUGAGGCCUCCGGUCUGUCGGCGGGCGAAGCGGAGGGCCACCGCGGGGGUUGGGCGAGCGGGCGGAGGCGCGGGACGUCGUUGGCGUGGUGGCUUCUCCAGCGGGUGGGCGAAGCGCGGUUGGGCAGAGCAGAGCCGCGGCAGAGGGAAGGGCACGCGCGCGGCCGACGGUUGGCCAGCCCGGCGUUCGCCCCGUCUUGUCGCAGGCGCGGGUUGGGCGCCGUGGCUCUCACCUUAUCGUUGUCUCGCCGGGGAUAGGGCGCCGGUGAGCUGCCGGUGGCCAGCGGCCACGAGGCACGCGGUGCGCGGGCGAACAUGCCCUGGCGCGCGGGCGUUGAGGCCCCUUCGGGCAGUAAGCCCGACCAGCUUUGAGAGAUCCUAUCUCAAGAUUUUGCAACACAACUUCCAAAACUCUUCUAAACAAACUUGUUCAACUCUGGACGUAGUUCAAACUUGGUUUAAGGUGCUGGUUUAGAUUGUGAAAGGAUUUGGAGAUAUCUCAUGCCAAAGUUUGCCAAAAAUAUGGAAAUCCAGACUUAGCCAAUUUUGGCCGGAGAGGUGGAAUUUCAGGAACUUAGCUAUGUUUGAGUCAACUUUAGGGCAGCUUCCAAGUUGAAUUAGACAGAAGUGUUAAUAGAGGAGUUGCUCUCCAAACUGAGGACUUCAACUUCUAUUUAGGGUAUUUCUGGAGUUUAGUUCAGAAAUUUGGAGGAACGCCCUCGCCAAGAGGUGCACUCUGAGCAGUUUUCCAGACUUAGCGUUGUGGUGCUCAGGGGCUGAGUUGACUGCUUUGCUCAACUUUGACCAAGAUUUUGAACAGGUUCUGGUUCGAUUUGGACCUGGGUCAUUGUAACAAACUUGGAAAACACUUGAGGUAUUACAACCUUUAUUAAGAGCCUGACUUGAGUUUAGAUAUGAAAUCGUGAGAUAAAGGCUUGCAAAGUUGGAGGAAAACUUGAAUUCCACGACUUGGAGGUUUAUAGGGUUCUUUAUUAUUCCGGUUUUGAUUCCUGUUUUUGACUUCCUCCCACUCCGAAUUAGCCAAAGUGACUUUAACAAAUAUUGUUUGAAAUUAAAAGUGUUACAACUCUUAUUUGGGCAAAAUUUUAAGUUUGUAUAUAAAAUCUCAAGUUUUAUUUUAAACUCCAUAAAGAGCUUCUUAGGGUUAAAAUGGUCAUUUCACUUCCUUUACUUAGUGAUUAACCACUGGUUUAUAUUUAAAGCACUUAAUUUAGGUAGAGUUGUUACAAGUAUCCACUCACUACUUUACCAAAUGGGUGCAGGCAGUCCCUCUGAAGACCGUGACGUUGGCCGUCAUGAUUGAAUUCAUAAGCGAGCACAUUAUCUAUUGGUUUGGUAUUCCUCAGACUGUUACGACCGAUCAGAGAACAAUGUUUACUUCAGGAGAGUUUGAGGAGUUCACUUCCGAUAUGGAAAUUAAGUUGUUAAAUUCUUCUCCAUAUUACGUUCAAGCUAAUGGUCAGACCGAAUCGUCCAAUAAAGGGAUAAUCAAGUGUAUCAAGAGGAAGGUAGAGGAGCAACCAAAGAGAUGGCACAUGACUUUAAGCGAGUCUUUGUGGGCCUACAGGAUGGCCUGCCACGGCGCUACUAAGGUGUCUCCUUAUCAAUUAGUGUAUGGAUAUGAGGCGGUGCUCCCUUAGGAAUUGAGGAUGGGGUCUAGACGCACGUCGAUUCAAGAUUAGUUGACAGCCGACGAUUAUUCUCUCCUUAUGAAAGGGGAGCUUGAGGAUUUGGUGGGUCAACGAUUGAGGGCCUUGAUCAGUAUUGAAGAGAAUAAGAAAAGACUUGCCAAGUGGUAUGACAAGAAGGUCAAGGUCAAGCAGUUCUCGCAAGGGGAUUUGGUAUGGAAAUUGGUAUUGCCGAUAGGGUCUAACCAUCCCAAAUACGGCUAGUGGUCGCCUACUUGGGAAGGGUCGUAUAAAUCGAUCGAUAUGUGCCAGGAAAUGCAUACGUAUUAGAGACCAUCGAGGGAGAGGAAUUUACAAGAGCCUUAAAUGGGAGAUAUUUGAAAAGAUACUAUCCCAGCAUAUGAGUGGACGCGUAGCCGAUGAUAUAGUGUAUCGAGUCGUUAUGGCCGAUUCCUAUUGACUCGUGUUUAUAUAGCCGAUGCAGGGAGGCAUCGCCUUGAGGACGAAACCUCUAAUCAAAUUGGCCGAUUAUUAUUCGGUACGGUGAUUGGAUACAUGGCCAACAUGGUACAAGUCGCCCUUAGACCAAAAGUACCAAUACAUCUAUCGGGUUACAAUAUGAUUAACUGCAUUUCAACUGGGCUUUGUUUUUAUUGAUCUCUCUUUGGACCCGGCCUAGUUCUAUUAAGAGACGGGUGCUCUUUUCCUCCCUAUCCGCCAUGGCAUCUUUGAGAGCGACCUGGCAGGGUAGCUGAUGACUCCUCUCAAUUGGCGGCUGAGGUGGCUCCCUGGAGCUGUUGGCUUCGAUGUGAUCCACGAUCUUCUUAAUGUGGGUCGGAAGAUGGUCUUUAAGCUCCUCACGGUGGGCUUUGAUCAGGUCUUGGUCCACCUGCAUCAGUGGUUCCUCAGAGUGCAUAAUUUCGAUAACUCGCUCAAGAUCAGGGCUGAGCCGGGUCGGCUGGACAAACAGCGGGCAAUCAGUUGUCGAAAAGAAUUGGUCAAGGAGCGCAAGGCUGAUCUCAUACCUCAUUGACGGGGGAAGAAGAAGACAUCUUGGCGCCCGGUUAGGGAUCUGAAAAUGGUCGAGCAGAGUGUAGAAGGAUGGAUGAGAUACGAGUGCCUCUGGGAGGAAUGUAGGGACCCCAUAUUUAUAGGAGAAAAGGUAAGGGGCAACGGUUGGCAAAGGCAUCUAUUCAAAGCAGAUGAAUGUUGAGCUAAAAGCUGCGAAGAGGAAACGUUCAAGUCCGUAUUCACACAAUGAUGGCAAAAGGGGCAUUAAAUGUUUGUGCAGAGGUGUUCAAAAGAUAAUUCAAUGUUUUGAUACAUUCAUUCAAGAAGAAUAUUAAUGGCCGCGAUUGCCUACUGGCGGAUCUGAUCCGCUGAAUCUAGAACUCGUUGGACAUCUUCGGCUGAUCCAAGAAUUUCUAGCAUGUUGCGAUGAAGCCGGAUGGCCUCAUGCGCAAGGGUUUGCCUCUCCUGCUUCAGAUCAGCGAUGACGGUCGUGAGAUCAUGAAGAUUAUUCUUUUUGGCGGUUAUAGCCUUUGUCACCUACUCCAUCUCCUUGGCAAUCUCUGCCCUAUGCUAUUUGAGACGGUCUAUUGUGCCGACGAUGUCUGGGCGAGAAUUUUCGAGUACGCCGAUUCGGUGAUGUACCUCUUGAGCUCGGUGUUUGUAGGAAUCCUUCUCUUCACAUGGCUUUGCCAGCUUGGCAUGAACGGCCAUGUGCCGCAGGGCUCUGAACACCGGGAUUUGCAUUGACUCGAUGUAUGUAGGAGGUGCAAGAGCUUUUUCUACAUCCUUCAGGACUCGGCCUUUUAUUUCGCUGAAGAUUUGCCAAAUCGGCGAAGCGUCUUCCACCAAUCGGCCGAUGUCAUCUUGAAGAAGUGCUCGGAUUCUCUGGAGCUUUGCACGUACUUCUUCCGAAAUUGAACCUGGAGCCACUUGUCGAGAGGCUACCUCUUCAUCAUCAGAAACAGCGAUCGCAAAUGAAAAGAGGCUGUUAUUGGGCGUAUCUUGUUCCUAUAAAAGUAAGAGAGGAAGGAACGGAUUAGCCGACAGUAGUGGGAAAUCGGUCGGAUUGGAUGUCGAAGGCCCUUACCUGUUUAAAAUGAAUUUUCUUCUGUUUGUGUUUGGGGGAUUGCUACCCUUGUCUCAGGAAUCAGCAUGGUUGGCUCGUCAGAAGAAGAAGACUCGACGGUGAUCGACGUUGUGUUUGGACCGGCUUCCUGAAAGUAACAAAAGGAGAGUCUCUAUAAGUAUGAAGCAAUAGUUAGAUCUAAGGAUGAGUACCAGUUACUUUACCUCUGUGAGUCGUCCGGCCGAUGACUGUUGGAAAGGUAUGAUUGAUGUACCCAGAGUGGCCUACAUUAGAAAUCGGUCAUUUUUGACUAAGGAAUAAGAGACUUGAGUAAGAUGUAUGUUCUUUACCUCAGCUGCAAGGAUUGCUGGUGGUUCGGUCUCUGCUUGGGAUGCGACCGAUUGCUGUGAGGUUUGCUCCGAAAGAAUUUGCGCAGCCUAACAAAAAGUGGAAAUUAAUACUGAUAGUAUACUUGGAGAAAUGUGAAGCAUAUAAAGUUACCUGAACAUCUUUUACCAAUAAGGAUGCAGCUGCUGAUCCGGCUUCCGUAGCGGCUUGGGGGUCGACCUCCUGGGCGAUCGGCAGAGUUGGUGUGGCUGAAGACUCGGCUGGUGGCACCGCCGAUUGAUCGGCCGGUUCUAUACGGGCGCGCACCCGGCGGCUUGUCUUCUUUGAAGAGGAUAUCUUCAUCUUCUGCUUCAAUCGGCCUGUGAUGAUAUCUUCGAUUGACGGGGACUGAAAGCCGAUGAUUGGAAAUGAAGUAUAUGGGUGGCGAUUCUCUAUCGGCCUGCCACUACAGUUGUGCGUUGGAGAGAGUUGGCUUUCAGACGACAAGAAAUGAGGGAAAUCAGUGGUAAUACUGUAAGAGUACGGUGUCAAAUCGGCCAGAAGGAUUGGUACCUCUGCAUUCGGAUCAAUGUUAGCGGGGUCCAGAUCAUUACAAUAUGUUGUAGGAGAUGUGCAGAAGAGGUGUUGUUUCCACUCACCCCACCAUAGCUUGAAUUGUUGGACAGCGAAGGGGGCCACAACCCAGUUGGCCAAUUCGAUGGUACUGGAAUCCGGCGUCAAGCUGCACAGCUGAUUGUAUUCAAGACCUUUAGAGAGCUCCUCCCGACACUUAACGCGGCCGGCAAAAUAAAUCUUAAUCGGCAUUUGUCUGAGGCCGAAUUGCCGCGCUGCCACUGAUGGGUUGUAGAAUUCAUAGGUUGGGGAGUCUUUUCCUGAGAAGAAGUUUGCUGGUAGGAUCCCAGGCUUGAUCAAAGUAUCCAUAAGCUCAUUAUCGAAGUAAUUGAUGGUUGAAUUGAAGCAGUCGGGGUUUUCAAAGAGUGGCUCAAUUCUCUGAUAUGGGUACCAGCUUGUAGUUUCUUCAUUGAAGCCGAUAUAGAAGCAUCUGAAAUACUCAGUUGUAUUUGUGGGGGUAAACUUGCUGCCAGGAGAAGCUGACGCUACCUCGCCAAGGAAGUGCAACGCCGUCUUAAUGUUGGGUUAUCCUCUGAUUCAAUAUUGGGGAAUGUCUUGGUCUCAACUCGUUCCCUGGAGAUCUUGCUCAUGUAUAAGUUGAGCCAGAUGGUGAUAAACCACCAGGGGCCACCAGAGUUCCCAAUCGGCUCUCCGGAUGACAGCUUGACUGCGAUUUGGUGCAUCAUAUGAUGAGCCAAUCCUAGCAGGUGUUUUCCUAAGGGGAUAGUAGAACCUUUUGCUAGGGCCUCGACCAGAGCCUGUGUAUUGGAGGAGGGGCCAACUGCUUUGCCACAGAAGAAGUGCUUCUCUAACCACAUCAUCAGGAAAGCUGUGUAUUCUCUAUCGCCGAUAGGACCGGUCUUCAUAUUUUUAUCAAUAUAGCAUUUCCACCUGCCGAUUCCCUUUGUUUCCAGGCGAUGGGUUGGUUUGAUCAGGAAAUUGAAGGGCAAGUCGGGGGAAGAGAUGUCAAGACCGGUCAGCAUCAGGACGUCGGCCAAAGUAGGGGUCAUGGGCCCAUGUCCAAAAAGGAAAACAUUGAGAGCGUCAGACCAGAAAUAAGAAGCUGCCAUGACCAAAGGUUCAUUCUUCUCCAUUUGAGACAGAUAUAAGUUUAUGCAUUGGCCGAUUUUUAGUUCAUCCCAAAGAACCCUCUAAGAAUUGGACAUCCUUUGAAACCACUCUUUCCAGCCAAGGGUUUCGUUCGGCCAAGAUCUAAAUGCACCUGUCCACUGGCUUAAAUCCAUUGGUGACUGCUUGAAAGGGAUCAUGUGGGUUUCCAGGUUGAUCAAUUCAGUGGGAUCUAGAUUCCCCAUGGGGCUAAGACCGACGAGGCCGGGUGCGUCAGAAACAGGGAUGGUGAUUUGCUGCCUAAGUUCCUAAAAAGGAUACAAAAGGAGAACUAAGAACAGAUCUAAAAGAUGCGUGAAUGGUGAAAAGUAAAAGUAAAAACUUUGGGAUAUUUACCUCUGGAAUGAAAGCCAUAGUCGCCUAUGGAGCCGCUAUUGGAGUAAACAGAAUAGGAUGGACGGAAGAUGAAGGAGGAAUCACCGUAGGAAUGCAGUUGGAAGAUGAAAGGGUGCCGAAAUGCGAUGGAAGAUGAUUCGCCGGGGAAAAAAGAGUUUCCCAGCUUGUGGAGAAGAAGCGGCGGAGAAUGCAAAUAUUUAAAGAUGGUUCGAGAGAAGGGUAAAGGUGGGAUUUUACCGCGCUGUCUGCACAAAUUUCGGGAAGAGCGGUUGCCUGCGAGCGCCUAGCUCGAAAAUUGUGAUCAUCAGAGAGAAGACCGCAGAACAGAAAGGAGCUUUCGCCGUGCCCGCCUCGGAGGAUGAGUUAGAGUUGAAAAAAAUUUGAAGCAAAAAGUUUCACUCUGAAACUUGGGGGCAUGUGUUGACGCCGGAUUUUGACACGUACUUGAAAUCGGCGUCAAAGAAGGAGAAAGGGGGGCCGAUGCGGCGGACUAGAAGCUACAGUUGGGAAUCGGCCGAUUGAAGCUACAGUGUUUCAGCCGAUUGGUGGAAGAAAUCGGUGGAGGCUGGCCGAUUGAGAGCCAAAGCAGUUUGGCCGGUUUGGGCCUAAGGUGGACCAGGAUGAAGAUUUGCUGAAGAGACAGGCCCGUGGGAAAAUAAUAACCAACUCGAAUAUGAGUCGUGUUUGUAACUAUUUGUUGUCGUUUGAAAUUAGAGAUAGAUUCUAGUCGGUUAUGAAAUCAGUUGCAACAGGCAAUAAUAGCUGCCUCGAGAGGCUUGUAAAAAAAUAACACACAAUCAAUAAAACAAAUUUACUCUUUCCUCGUACUUUACUUUCAAGUCGGCGACUUCGCCAAAACCUUUUUCUUUCACGAGUUCGUACGGAUUGGCAGGGCUGCAUCUACAUGAUCUCCGACCGAUUCUGUAAGUUCCGCUUAUCGAGUAAUAUCUAAGCUUUAACUUCGGGCGCAUCGCUGUUGUUUCAUUUAGAUUUAUUCACUAGUUAUCGAUAUCAACUACAGUCAUAGGUUUUACCUGUUAUUUUAGUUUUUAUCACCAAUUAUCCAGCUUGAGGUACGAGCUAUCGGCUUCUAUUAUUUUUAUCCUUUAUCAUCACAUAGCUGAUUAGAUCUACUCCAAGUGUUGCUUUUGUAGUGUUGUUUAGGUUGCUCUAGAAGUUUUCCUUACGAUUGCUACGUGAGUAUCGGCUGUCUUAUAGCCGGUCAUCUCUAUAGUAAAUCGGCCGAUUCGCUAAUACGCUCUUCAAGACAGAUCGGAACUCUAGCCGAUCGAAACCCCUAAAAUUUAAUAUUCUUCUUUCCUUUGUCAAUCAACAGGUCAGAUUGACUGGCACGCCGCGCGAACCGCACCAGGGCAAUAACCUGAACAGGAGCUAAGCAGAUUCUCCCGGGUCGUGUGUCCGACGCUGAGGGUCAUCGGCCAAUUUUCAGGGCCAACAACAGCUUUUGGGCAAAAGCAUAUAGGACUUUUAGGGGGUGUUUGGCAUGGCUCUAGAGCUGAACUCCGGUAACUCCAGCCAAUUUUCCAGCCAAACACCCUAGCUCCAAAACUCCAUGGAGCUGCAGUGCAAAUGGGAUGGAGUUUUGGCGCACCUCUUUUGUAGCUCCAAAACCACCUAAUAUGAACCUCCUCGUGGAGUUGGUGGGUAAUUAACCAUCAAUGCCACUGAUUAAAAUAAAAAUGAUUCACUUCUAUUUUCUCUCGAGACCCCUCCCCGCGCCGCCCGAGGCCUCCUGAUGCCGCUCUCCUGCGCCGCCGCCUAGCGCCGCCGACAGCUGCUGUCGCCGUCCGUGCCCCGCGUCCUGCGGGCUACCGCCUCGCCAUCCCCAUGAGCCCCCUGCACCGCCGUCAGAGCCGCCAGCCGAGCCGCUGCGGCCGGGUUUCCGCCGUCUUGCCGCCUCUUUCCUCAACUGGAGUGAGCCAUCAGCAGCAGCAGAUUCCCCUCGGCGAGCCACGCCCGUUUCGCCGGUUCCGUUGUCACCCUGCUGCCGGAGUGCCGCCGCCACCGUGAAAACCGCCCGCCCCCCGAUCUCCACCACCACGCUGACCACCUCCGUCCAUGCCCUCCGCCGGUGAGCACACCCGUAGAUUCCCCUCGACCCCCUCUUCCUCUUGCGCCACCUGCCCAAAACACCACCUCGCCGGAGCGCCAGCAAGCUAGCUGGCCAGAGCCCCGGUGAGAGGAGGAAGAAGGAACCUGGCUCUUUUGUGAUUGGGUCCUUGAGGAAAGCUAAAAUCUUUUGCUCUGUUCCUUGCUCCCGGCGAGAGGAGGAAGAAUAGUGGGCUUCUGUGGUGGAGGGCGAGAUCGAACCAGGAGUCAGAAUGUCAAUCUACCCUCAAACUCCUCUUUUCUGGAGUUGGGAACACCCUCCCAACCAAACACCUUCAUCAGACAGCAGGUUGAAAAGAGGCACAUGAGGCUCAGCCGCUUAGGCCCACGGGCAAAAAAAAAAAACUCUUACUUUAUGGCGGAGUAGUUGCUGUUCCAGUGUGCAGGUAAAUUGUCGCAAAUGCCCUCUUGUGGUCGCGUUGCAGUAGCCGAUAAGGCGUCCAAACGUGAGGUGCACACACCUGAUCUGAUCCUCUCAGUGGAAACGGGCCAGGUCCAUGCAACCCAGGACAGGAAGGCUCUAUACCUGGGCCGAACGGUAGCCCAAGAGGCCGACAGUAAGUGAGCUCACGGGUGACGAACGGCCCAGAAGCCGCCCCAAUCCGGCCACCGCCACUGAGCCGGCUCGACUAAACCGGAUCGCCACGCAGCCCGACCGCGCAGGCGUACUUCCCGAACUACCCCCGGAGAUUAUCCAAUCGGACGGCCAAGCGCCACGCACUGCCAAAGAAUUCCCCGAAAUGACCCUACUCUUCCCUUUGCCUCCCUCGCGUGCCGCCGGUUCUGCUCGACCGGACCAGCGGUUCAGGCGCCGAAUAUUCGCCCGCGGAUAUUUCUUGCCCGGUGCGUCAACUCCGCCGCUAUAAAUACCCUCAUAGGGCGGCCGCUAGGGUUUUAGUGCUUCUCUCCCGGCGGCGCCUCCACAUAUCGUCUCUCAGAUCGGGAGGCGAAACCAAGGUGACUGACCUCAUCCCCUUUCUCCUCCCUCCGUCUCUGGUUGCUAUAGCUAUUUCAUCCAUGCGCUGUCCUUAUAGCUGAUUAGUAUUUUUACUAGUGGAGUUCGAGUCGUUUUGGUUCCAUUCAGUAGUGCUUGUGUUGAUUGGAUUGAAUCGGAGGACUCGAAGUGGUUUGUGCUGCUCGAAUCGUAAGUUUGUUGGGCUAAUCUCGAUGGAAUUUAUGUCAAUUCGUUGGUUUAGUGGUCCUUGGCAGUUCUCUCUGUGAUAGGCCCGUCCGAUCUGUAGAGAUGCGGUGGAAUCCUGGUUUACUCAAAACGGUUCUAGAUUCCUCUGUUCUUCCCUUAUUUUUUGUUUCGAUUACUUAGUUUGCACGUUAGGGGCCUAUGAAGUUUAUGUGCUCGGAUCCUUUAGUGAAACUGAUCUGUUUACUCAGAUGUGCUCGGAUCCUUCAGUGAAACUGAUCUGUUUACUCAGAUCUGCUGGUAGCUAACAGGUUCAGGGUAGUUAUGUUGAUGGUCUAGUUUUGGUAGUUUCAUUGUCGAUUUCUGUCCAUUUUUGUCAUGUUCUGUCCAUAAAAAUACUAUCUGUGCUUCUUCAUAUCUUGUAAUAUGAAUUCAUUUGACAAACUAUGCAUUUCUUUUAGAGUGUUUGUCUAAAUUAAUCUUCUGGUAUAUCCCUAUGCCAGUCUGUUAAUAUGUCUGUAUUAUAGUGUUUUGUUUGAGGUGGUAAUGUACAUGGUGCACCCUGCAGUUUUUCAUGUCUAAUAUUGAAUCUCCUUGUUUGCUGUAUGUAUUAAGGAUUAGUUUCACUUCAAAUAGCUUACUGCUGAUGCUUUCUUGUUUGUUUAAUAUGCUGUGUAAUCAUGUUGACCCUGAGGUUUGUAAGAAUUCCUCUUAUUUGAUUAUUGCAUGGAUUAGUGUCCUGAAGGAUAUGGCUCCUUUGUACAAUUAAGAUAAUUCACUUUUUUUUCUCAACUUUUAUAUGCUUACUAGCCCAUUAGGUUGUGUAAACAUUAGAGUGCUUUAGCCUGGUAAAGAUGAGUUAAGCAUUUUAAAUAAAUUUUUGGAUUUGGUUGAUAUCAUCCUUAACACCUGCAUUUAAACAAUUUGUCUCUUUUGAUCCUGACUAUUACAGUGGGUGUUACUUUCUUUAGUCAUUCUGUGGUAUCAAAGUUUCUGGUGUAGUUGUGUAAUUAUGGUUUUGGUUGGAUUCUUACUAGUAUUUUCUACCUUUAAACAGCAGGAAAUUAUAUACAUAUUUGUAGUGUGAUCUUCAUAAGAAGUCAAGAUGGUGAAGUUCACAGCGGAAGAGCUCCGUGCCAUCAUGGACAAAAAGAACAACAUUCGUAAUAUGUCCGUUAUUGCUCAUGUGGACCACGGUAUGUUAAGAACAGUGUUUAAUUAAAUGUUAUGCAUACCUGUUCCUCGACAUUUUUCAGGCUUUUCAAUUUUAGCAAUUGUUUUUUUUCAGUAUUAAAUCUCUGAAUUGUUCUUGCCAGUGAAUGCGAUUCAUGCUGCGUUAGCUAUCACAGACCUAUUUUACAUAUGUAGAAAUAUUCAUUUCAUGUUGGAAAUAGGCUUAUUGUUCUUUUGUAAUUAAUGUAUUGGUUUAUCUCUAGAUAUUGCAGUGUAUAGUAUCUGUUUACUAUGUGUUUUAUAUUGGGAUGUAUUGUUGUCUUUGUUAACUUGUGAGAGGUUGUCUAUCCCUAAUGUUGUACUAUUCUUGAUGCAUCUUCGGACUGACUUUUAAGUUCCACACUAUAGUCUUACAUCUCAUUAAUUCUUUGCAGGCAAGUCUACCCUUACAGAUUCCCUUGUGGCAGCUGCUGGGAUUAUUGCCCAGGAAGUUGCUGGUGAUGUCCGCAUGACUGAUACACGUGCAGAUGAAGCAGAGCGUGGUAUUACAAUCAAAUCCACCGGUAUUUCUCUGUACUAUGAGAUGACUGAUGAGUCACUGAAGAGUUACAAGGGUGAGAGAGAUGGUAACCAGUACUUGAUCAACCUUAUCGACUCACCUGGGCACGUUGAUUUUUCUUCGGAAGUCACAGCUGCCCUUCGUAUCACCGAUGGUGCUCUAGUGGUGGUUGACUGUAUUGAAGGUGUCUGUGUGCAAACUGAAACUGUGCUCCGCCAGGCUCUUGGUGAGAGGAUUAGGCCAGUGCUUACUGUGAACAAGAUGGACAGGUGUUUCCUUGAGCUUCAGGUUGAGGGUGAGGAAGCCUACCAGACUUUCUCCCGUGUCAUUGAGAAUGCCAAUGUCAUUAUGGCAACAUAUGAAGAUAAGCUCCUUGGUGAUGUCCAAGUCUACCCGGAGAAGGGAACUGUUGCUUUCUCUGCUGGUCUGCACGGCUGGGCCUUUACCCUCACCAACUUUGCCAAGAUGUAUGCUUCGAAGUUUGGAGUUGAUGAAACUAAGAUGAUGGAGAGGCUCUGGGGUGAGAACUUCUUUGACCCAGCCACAAAGAAGUGGACCACCAAGAACACAGGCUCUGCUACCUGCAAGAGAGGAUUUGUUCAGUUCUGCUAUGAGCCAAUCAAGCAAAUCAUCAACACCUGCAUGAAUGACCAGAAGGAUAAGUUGUGGCCCAUGCUUCAAAAGCUUAAU
rnacentral:lncRNA from 1 species